rnacentral:lncRNA from 1 species
GUGUUGAGCACGAGGUUUCCAUCACCUUGCAAGCGCAGCUGGAACCGCCCUUUUGUGUAGUUAGUCUCCGAUUGUCUACACGAAAGCGUCCCAUUUCUCUCAAUUGUCUGUCCAGGCAAAAUGGUGUCUGUAGGAUUGCUGAAGGUCUCCCACAAGCUCCGAGAGUUUUGGUGUUGAAGGACAAAGUUUCCGGUGUCAUUCAUGACCCCGUUCGCAACAGUCCCCAAGGUUAUUUCGGAUUUCCAUGUCUCUCCACCCUGAGGAUUGUUAAGAACUAGUCCACUGUUGGCAGUCAAGUUCAGAACUGAUCCCCUAGGUGCAACCAUGGGGUUGUUACCGUCAUAUGCAUACCAAACUACGGUUUUGUCUGGGAUUUUCGCAUACCAUAUCGAAAGCAAGAAACGAUCAUUGUUUCCGAGGGGCGAAAAUCCAAACGCGAAAUCACCGGAUGGAGAAAGCCAUGAUGAGGAGUCGCCUGUAGUUGCAGUUAGAGAACUCCCAACUGCUACUGUUCCAUUAUUUUGGGAAAUCACAGAAAUUGGUAGCAAAAACAAAGAGGAGAACAAAAGCAUCUCUACAGAAAGAGCCACUGCCAUUGCAAAAGCACCAAUUUUUCAACUUGGCUUGAUUGAUUAGCUAUAUUUCUUAGUAAAGCAUUGGUCCUGGUUAUAUCUUUAAGUAAAUGUGUGUGCACCACGUGCCUGUCAUUUUCUAAGUUUUUGCCUGGAAUUAAAGGCGUCUACACCAUUUUUUGAAGUCACACACAACAAUAUCUCCGGGCCUACAGAAUAAAUUCUCCGAAACUACACAUAUCACAAGAAUUUCACUUUCAAAAAAAAUAAUAUAAUGAAUAGUUCUAUAUAUAAUAACACCGAGAUUUUUUGUGAUAGAACUUAUUGUCUCUUUCAACUCUUUGUAAUGUUGCAAGUUGUAACAAUAUUGAUGUAAUUAGUAAUGAUCCGUGACUUGUCUCUCUCAAAUCUCUUUUCAUCCUACUCUCAUCCCUCGUCUGUUUUAUGAUUCUACUGACUUAAGCACUUAUAAAUGUUCCAAAUCAGCAAAGGACUUGUAACUUAAAUAAUUAAUAAUAUUUAUCAUUACACUCGAGAUUCAUGACUCACGCUGCAUGUGUCGGCCAUUCAAGUCCACCAGUCAAAAUUCAACAAUGGGGACCACAAAGAAAAUUUGAAAAAGUACAUGCAGAUUGAGGACGGAUACAUAGAAAAUCUGAAAACAGACCUUCAGAACCAAACAAAGACGACUAACUAAGCCUUUAAGUCAAGUGAUAAGAGACUUUUUUUUUUUUUUUUUUUGAAGAAUAUAAGAGACUUAUAUCUUCACAAAAACAAAGACGACUAAGUCUCUAUUUCUGUAUUCACAAAAAAAAAGUACUAACCGAAGUUUUUAAUGUAUGAUUACGUCGUUGGGGUAAGACACCCGAGGCCGAGUUGAGAUAAUCACAGAAUCGAGAUCCUCUUCGAAUGUCACAGUCUGGCGCAAACGGACUUAGAGACCCGAACCACUCAUUUUAAAUCAUACGACCUUCAUUAGCUUAUCCUAUUGACCCACAUCACAUAAGGGGUCCGAAUCUCUCUCUCCCCUCUCUUGACCGGUUUGGAUAUCUCGGUCUAUCGAUUUUGGAUUGCGAGAUUCAGAGAGAAUCUGAUUUCGGGUUUGAGGUCUGGUUCGAUGACCAUUUGAAGCCCGUUGAGGCGUGGCCCAUCUCAUCAGGUCGGGUCAGCCAUUUCGUACCAAGUUGAAUCCCAGGUCAGGCCAGCCAUUUCAUUAGCCUAAGAUGGACCUGACGGACGAUGCGCUUGGAUAUUGCUUACUGCGACCAAAUGGACUCAUGGGCUCAUUAGAUGAUGAGUCUGGACCUGGUGUGUGUAAAGGCCACCUCAGCUCGAUCCAUAUUCGAUCGAUACUACAGAGAAGGUGGAUAUGAGGUAAAGGUAGAGUAAGCUCCAAGUCAUGUGGAGGUCAGUCGAGAUUGAACACACGUUCAUAGAAUCAUAGUAUCAAAUUCAAGUCAAAAUUUUAACACUACGAAACCGAAAAGCAUGCAACUCCGAAAAGCAUUGUUUCAGUCCAACAACCCAAACUUCCUUAAAAAACUAAGACCAAAACGACGACAUUAGGAAACGGAAAAUCAUGCAACUCAGAAAACCAUUGCUCUAGUCCAAAUGAGGUUCUUCAAUGCCUCAAGCUUUUCUAAACACCAUAGCCUGAACCUUUUCCUUUGCGCCUUCUUUACUUCACCAGAAACGUUCUUAAUGAGCUCUUCUUCAAAUUUGGGACGAGCAGGCAUUAGGCUGUGCACAAUGCUGUAAAUGCUCCUAGCCCUUGCCACACCCUAGGCGCAUACGCGUGCAUGUCCGACCUGAGUUAUCUCAUUACGCGCGCAGUUUGAUCUUCCCGUAUUGACAUCCCUGCUGUCUAUUCUCCUGCGAAUCCUUCUACUGGUGACUUCAUCCGGGUCCAUUUUCUUGCUCCUCAGUGCAUGUUCAUCUGCUUUUCCAUGUUAAUAGAUAUAGGAAUCCUAUGAGAAACAACAUUUGACAAAACAGAACCUAAUAAUAACAACAAAACUUGACUUCAUCCUCAGUGCAUGUUCAUCUGCUUUUCCAUUUCAAAGCAGCUGACGGCAUGAUUCGUACUUGGACUCCAAGAUGUCUAGAUUAUAGGGAAACCAGCCCUCUAUCCAAAACACACAAAGAAGUGUAUUUUCCGUUUAUACCAAUUAAGUGUGUUGAAGCAUGUCCCACAUGGCCACAUCGGAAACUUGUCGAAGCUUAAAUCCUCUUAUAUAGAAAGUUGAACUACUAAUGCCAUGAGGCCUUAAUUUUGUAUAAAACCAUACUUAUUGAAUUGCACACGUGCUUAAGUUAAGGUCAGUAUUGAUGGCAAUUAGUAGUGGGCCGCUGGGCCGUCUUAAAAAAACUGGUACAAAGGGCAAUUUAUAGAAGCAGUGUUGAGAUAAGGGCAAUUCACCUGUUCCUUUUAGAAGGAUAUAUACGAAUGAAGCAAGGUUUAUCUACUCACCCGUAAUGCGGCUCAGCCCUUCAUAAAAAAGUGAAAGAUCAAAAUUACUUUUACAGCAAGAGCAAUACCAGAAGAUGUAAUCUAAAUUAUUUAUAUUUGGUUCCCUUGAAAUCCUUUUGACUGCUUCAACAUACUAUAUGCAAACAGAACCAGAACCAAGUCCAGACUCACUCGUAAGAGGAAGUCCACCGGGGGUGGGAUAGGUCGGCACCCAAUGGAAAAAACAGGCUGAGACUCAGCCAAUCCACUCCAGCCCGUGGAAUCGACUGGCACCCAGCCCAAGCCAGUCCACAGGCCGACCUAAAAUUGACAGACCUUGGGACCGGCUCAAAUGACAACUAGCUGACGCCAGCGUGGUGUCGAGGGCAAGGAGCCACGGAGGCAAGGCAAAGACCAACUUCCCCACCCCCACUAAGCUCCAUCUCGACGCCGUCAACAUCGCCAACAUGAACAAUGCCGCCAAAUUAGCUGCGACGACGAACAUCAGCAACAGCCACAGCAGCACCGUGGAGUCCUCCUCCUUGCCGUCUCCGCGCCCGCUCGACCUCACUCUCAAAACCCCCCUCUUGUCCACCGACAGCGGCUACUUCACUGCUGCGAGCGGCUUCCGCCUGCUUCCCGCUUCCCGGGAAUUAUCCUUCCGCGAAAGAUCCCCCCGCGAAACUUGUAGGUUCGACCACCCCCCCUCCCCCACGAAACAUCCCCAUAUUUUCCUUCCGGACCAAGUUUGUUCCUCUUUUAUGUAAGAAACAAAAUCCCUGCCCAGCUUUAUAAUAAUUAAUUUAUAAUAAAAAAUAAAUAUUUUUAUUAUUUUAUAAUAAAAAUAAUAUUUUAAUAAAAUUGACUAGGCUAUUUUUUGUUAGGGAUAGAGAUGCAUUGGCCUAUUACUAUUCAUUAGAGUCUAUCGGGAAUGGAUAAAUGGGUUGGGUGCUGGCAUAAAGUCCUUAGAGGUGGACUUGCUCUAAUAGGUCUCCUCAUCCACAACAAUAUCCCAGCUUUCCCUUGUCGUGGUUUUCCCAUAUUUGUGCACCUUACUGCAAAGAGAGAGCAAGUUAACUUGUCAAAGAAAAACCAGAACAAUAGAUGCCAAUGCAGUUCAGAAAGCUUAUUUCCCUUCAUACCCAUUUCCAAAGUGCUCCUCCCCACGUCCUUGACCAACCUAGACAUGAGACAACAAAAACAAAGUUACAUCAGAUUAAAUUAUUGAAAGAAAAAGGUUCACUUCUGUUGUAACAAAUUGACAUUAGAAUCAAGCAACCACGCUAUGAAAUACAAAGUUAAAAUGUAACAAUUUACUGUGUCUUAAAGGAAUCUGUGAAAUAAAAUAGUUAAACCCUAAACAACACCACUGCAAAUUAGGGGUGGGCGCGGUUCAGUUUUGAUUGAAACCAAAACCAAAACCGCAAGUUUUUGCGGUUUGGUUCGGUGCGGUUUUGAAGCCAAAACCAAAAUGAAACCAAACCGUUUGGUUCGGUUCGGUGCAAUUUCAAACGGUUUCAGUUUGGUUUUUAAGAAAAAAUGUACGAUUUGCAAUUUAACAUAUUAAAAAGCAUUUCCCAAUAGUAAUAGGAAAAUGACAUUUGUUAUGUAAACAAUUAGCAUGUUGCAUGUAGUUGUGAUGUUAAAACAUGUUUGUGCAACAAAAAGGUGUCCCUUACAAUAUUUUUCAUAAAACAAGUUGAAUAAAUUUGAAUUCAUUAAACGUGAGCGAAAUUUUCAUACUAGAAUAUGUGAUAUCAUGCUUCAAAUGAGUGGCCUUUAGUAGAUCAUUGUUCGACUCUUGAUAACAAGAUUAGUCCACCCUUGUACAUAUAUGUGUGUGUGAUGGUAUAAAAUAACAAAGGUCAUUCAAGUUAAUGAACAAAAGAGAGUGAUGAAUGAUGAUAUUCUAGUGUGGUUGAGUCCAUACUAAGUGUAUGGAUUUUAACAAACGACCAAUUAAAACAUGAAAUCUAAUAUGGACAUUUAAUUAAAUGUUUAUUAAUAUUUGCGGUGCGGUUUUCAAAAGCCAAAACCGAAACCAAACCGUUUUCUAUGUUGCGGUUCGGUUACAAAACCGAAACCGUUUCAAAACCGCAAAACCAAACCGUUCGGUGCGGUUCGAUUUGGUUCGUGUUUCGAUUUCGGUUUUCGGUUCUAAGUGCCCACCCCUACUGCAAAUAGCAUAAGAAAAUUAAAAUUAACCCUAAAGAAAUUGGGAGAGAAGAAUAUGAAAAGGGAAUACCUUUCGGCCCUUUGAGUUAUUGGAAAAAACCCAACAGAGCAAAAGAUAAGCAAAAAUACAGGAGGAAAGAAAAUAAAUUUUCAACUUGUAAGAUUCAUACGCGAACAUAUUGGCGGUCAAAAGCAUUUCGGAACUCAGAGCCAUCAAGCUUUUUGAUCUGCAUGGAAAUUAUUUAUGAAGUUUGAGAUUCUUAUAGACGCUUUAGACACAUCGACAUAUUGAAAAAGCAAUAUUCAACAACCUAGUACCCAUGCUCCAUGAAAGGUUACAGAAAAUAUGAAUGACUGGACUCUGGAGUGAGAAAGUAAAAGGACUUACCGCAUACUUCAUAUCUUCUAAGUUUGUGUAGUCUACAAUCCCUGUUGUGCCUACAAAAAAGGCAUAGGACAAAAGCUAAAUCAAUCGAAAUUCUGAUGUCUCAUGAUCUAGGUCGUAGGAUUAAACUACUGAAAUAACACUAUAUGAAAUAGCAGUGUAUAUCCCAAAAAAAGUCUGAAAUCUGGUUGAUAAUUGAAGAGUUCGAAGGGAUUUACCUUUGGAUUCUUUGGCUUUCAGAUGGAGUUUGCUUAUGUGUGGGGGAGAGAGGUGGAGCGGCUAGAGCUUGAGUAUGGAAGAGAUGAAAAAUGCAGAGAGCACCUGUUUUGGCUGAAGCAACUCACACACUCUGGACAAAUCUGCAAAUGUCUAAAAGGGGGAAAAUAUAAAAAGAAACCUUAACAACUGAAUUCAAAGAAACAUUAUUACAUUGUAAAUAACAUUUCACAAAAAAAAAAAAAAACUAAACUAAACUAAUUACACUCGGAUUGCAAUGCUAUCAUUUAAUAAUAGGAAUUCCCAUAACUUAGCAGAAGACCUGCAUCUGCAAAGGAUUCUUUAAAACCUAUUUUUUUUAACAACCCCGCACCUGCAACACAUCCAGGCAAGGUAAACCAAUAGCACCCUCAUGCUGAGCUCUUCUGUGCAUAUAUACCCCUUAUAAGUAAUCUUAAUCAAUCAGUUAUCAUGAAUAUAGUCAGUUAUCAUGAAUAUACAACUUAUAUUAAUUUUCUACAAUAUCCAACACACAAAUAUAACAGAAGAGGAAACUUUUACUUAAGCAGCACAAAAUGAUAUCCUCUGCAUUUCAUUCCAAAAUCCAUCACUCUUAUGUCUUUGCCUGCACAGUUUUUGCUCCAACAUAGCACACCAUGAUGAUAGCACUAUCAAUAAUUAAGACAUAAAGAAAGGCUAUCCUAGCUAGGUAUUAUCAUUGGAGUAAACCAACAACACCAUAAGUAAAGUAGCAGACCAAAUUUUUUCUAGAAUUGAUGUCUUAACAUGUUUAAGUAGCGAAAAGAUUACAACACAUUGGAUGUGUUAACACAUCCAUAAGCUAAUGACUCCCUCUCCAGUUUACCGCAUCAUUCUUAAUGUAUUCAACAAUGCAGCAGUAAUUAAAAGUCCUUGGAAAAUGCCAAGCUACUACAAUGACAUAACGAAAACUAUAUCUCACCAUACCCCCUUGUUGGCAUAGACAGCAUAUCCGUCCUUGUUCAGGGUGAAUCAUUAUCCUGAACUCAAUUAUCAUCAUCGUCGAGAAUGUCAAACUUUAAAUCAACCAUGCAUGGAACAAAACCUAGAAAUUAAACAAUUAUCAAAGCUUAUGAAGAAUGCUAAACCCAACUAAUUCGAAACAUAAAGUAACCCAAAAGAGAGAAAACUUAUAAAUUUUACAUAAAUUAUAAUCCUUAACAGAAGGAUGGAACAAAGCAUGUUCAUUCUUGAGAAUAGGUGUAAUUUUGCACAUUGCAUAUAUGUACAUUAAGGACGGUGGUAACAUACCUUGUAAUUUGUACAAAUUAGGAUUUUCAUUCAAAGAACCAUAAUAUACACAAUUACAAAAACAGUGAUACAAACUUGUUCUUCUCUUAAGGAAAUUACUCACAGUUGAAAUUCUGAAUGGACAAAGUUUUGGCAUCCCUUUCCGACUAUAUUUGAUUAACCUUUUUUUAAUCCAAUGAGUGCCUUCAUGAGAGAGAGAGAGAGAGAGAGAGAGAGAGAGAGAGAGAGAGAGGAAUAUUCGGUGAAAAGUAUUGCCAAAUCACACAGAGAUCAAAAUCUUGAAUAUAUAUGUUUAACCAUAUCAAAGUGAGUGUGUGAAAGGGUGUAGUCUGCAGAAAGGGCAACAUUUUCACUGCUAGAAAGUUGGAAACUAAACUUUUACACAGAUAUUGGAUUUUAUUAAUUCCCUCCGCGAAUUGAAAAGCAAAUUGUUCGAGUAAUGCAGGUAAAUUCGAUAUACAUAUGCGUUGAUCUAUGUAAGACGGUUAUAAGUUAUAACUGUAUCGUCUUAACACAAAAAAUGAUCAUAAAUGUAAGUGUCUGUAUUAUGGAAGUAAGGGACUUGCAGCAAUUGCUAUGAGCUCUAACAGCAGUCACUCCAAGUACCCUAUUAUGGAAGUAAGGGACUUAGUAAGGGACUUACAUCAAUUGCUAUGAGCUCUACCAGCAGUCUCUCAAAGUGGUGCAAGGGCUAAAAUUAUAAAUAAAAAGUAAUUUAAACAAUUUAACUUAAUAAAAUAUUGUAAUUUAAACAAUGCCUAUAUAUUCAAACAUCCCAAAACAGGAAUGAACUUCCAGAAAACAUGCGCAUGAAAAUAAACGGCAUUACUCACCCAUUGAGUUGGACCAUCAAACUAGAGCGUAAGAAGGAUCAUCAUGUACCUAUGAAACCCAAAGGAAAAUUUUAGCAACCCCAAAGCUUGUAUGCAAGCGUGAAUAAGUAUGCAUGUAUGAAUCUAUUCAUAGUGAAGAAGGCUACCUUAAGAAAUAUUUGCAUCUGCAGCUUCAUAUGGCCAUACAACAAAAAGCACCGCAUAUGAUAACAAACCCCAGCUGCACCACAAAAGGAAUAUGAUCUUCCUCUCAACUUGUAUUUGUAGUUGUUACUGUAACAUCUGCAGACAGCAUACAUAAGCACUGAUUCGAUAAUUCUAAAGGGAAAAAAGUCCUUAUUCGAUAAUGCACCAAAUCCUAUCCAAAAACCAAGUGGGUGCCAUAUCCCUAGAUUAACAGAGCAUCUUUCUUUGUUCCAAAACAAAUUGCAAUUGGCUUUGGUAAAGUAGAAAGAUUACCAGAUACCGACUCUGUUCCAUUAUUCGACUGUCCUUUUAGUUCUGUCUCUCAACAUGGGAAAUACAAUAAGACAGUAAAAACAAAAGUUAGUGAUGCUAUUACAUAGUGAAAGAAAAUAAGACAUUCACAUAUUGAUAGCUAUUUACUGUCCUUUCUCAUCAUAAUCUUGGCCCCUAUAUAUACAUAUAUUGAAUUUUGAAAGCAAUGAGAGAAAUAUACCUUUGGGGCGUCACCGCCAGAAGGGUGAGUGAGGGAUCUAAGAUGUUUAAGAGCAGGAAUUUUUAAGUAAUUUGUGUGAAAAAGUUGAAGAGCUUCGAACAUAGUGGAGUGGGUUGGCCUGGGCUAAAAUAAAGAGGAUGAACUCUAGAAAGUAGAAAAUGUUGUUGUUCAACCAAACUCAAAAGUAAAGAAACCAUAUGAUUAACAUAUAAAUAAGUUUUAUAUACCAAUGUUUACAUGUACGUUGUUUGAGAAGGUAAAUUAGCAACAUAUACAGUGAUCAAAAGAUUAACAGCAAUAAACUGCUCAUUAUUCGAAAUAUACAAGAAAGUUGUCAUUCACAUGAUCCAAAUGGCAGAGGACAAAACAGAAGGAAGCAAAUAUUAUAGCAGCAUAAGUUGAAUAAUUGCAGCAAGUAAACAAAUAGAAAGGCUAGCUAGAUUACACAAUCCAGUUCUAGGUCGGACUAACCAUGUUAGCCAUCCGCCCACCACCAGCACCGUCGGCUUCUUAUUAAAAAUGUAGAAUAGAAGACUAAAAAAUUGGAAAUGAAAGCAGGUAACAUUGAGUUUUAAUAACCAAAAAGGGACACUGUUUAAGCAGCUCCACAACAGCAAUAAUACUUGGAUGAUGACCUGCAAAAACAGAAAAGAAAACACAAAUUAAACUAAAAAAAUAUAAAAUUUAACACUAAUCCAAGGAUUAAAUAUCAAAUAUAAAUUCAUUAGGAUUGGGACCUUUGCAUUGAGGAAUAUCUACUACAUUAUGAGUUCCCUCUUGAUAAAGCCCAAUCAGGGGGUUUUUCGAUGAGCCAAGAACGGCUAACUUUGCGUGACACCGCCAUCCCCACUAACACCAAACCCAGAUAAUAUCAAGAUCAAAACUAACCAAUACCAGAAAGAUUUUUUUAUUUAAAUUUUAAGAAAAGACCUAAACUUUACGAAAUUAAGGGGGAAAACAAAGUUAAGUAAAGCACCAAUUUGCAACUGUCAAAAGUGAAAUAUGAGACUCCAACUGUCUAGAAGAACUCCGUGGCCUCAUCGACGAUGACCGGAUGGUGGAGAUUGAACUGGUGCGUACACCCGAAACACCUGAUUAUACACCGAACAGAGAACAAAAUUUAAAUCAAGUCGAACAAUAAUUAUGAGAAAAUAAACUAAAAGGGAUUUGAGCUGAGAGUUACGAUUCGAAGUGCGGGCAAUGGAGGGUGCAGGUUAGCGGCGGCAGAGAAGGGGUUGAGCUUGGGUUCAGGUCCGUUUUAGGAGGUGGAGGCUCUUGAUAGAAGAUUGGCAUUGGAGUCGUUUUACAAAUCAGUUUCUUCCUGAACAUCCUAAUGUCAGCUUCUAGAGUUUCCUGUAAAAGAACAGACAACAUUCAUAAUAAGAAAAUCUCUCUAUGCAAUCGCAGAAAUCCCUCGGGUUUCAGGAAGCAAAUGGAAAAUGAAAUGCUUUUCUCCCGUAUCUCUCUCUCUCACCUCUGUCCCAUCUCUCUGUCUCCAAAUCGCAGAAAAGAAACCCUAAACAAAUCCCUGAAAUCCCUCGCCUAAAUCCUCCUACAUUUCUCUCGGACAACCCCCUCUUUCUCUUUGCAAACCCUAAACCAAAUCUCCUAAAUCCUAUCUCAGGCACCACACAUACAGCCAAGAAGCCAAGAUAUUAAAGCAAUCUCUAUAUAAUACUUUGGAACAAUGAAGAAAAAUGGUACUUACUUGUUCCUUGUCCAAAACAGUUGGUGCCGCCGCACAUUGUUAUCAAUUGUGGGUUGAUCAAAUCCUUCAUGGCUUAGACUGCAUGAAGAAUUAGAAACUAAAAGAUGAAUAUAUGCCGUAAAUCAUCAUAUAAAUGUAACUGCAUUUAAAAAAAGAAGGGAAUGACAAAAUUGAAUUCUAUUUCAUCAGUAUGUAACUGCAUGAAAAGUUACUUUGAAUGAAGACUCGAUCAAUUUCCCCAAAGUCAUUGUUAACUGAAAAUCAAUAUCAAACCCAUAAAUACCACAUUGAAUUUGACCAAGUUAAAGGAUAAAGGCAGUCGCAUCAUCGUAUUACUCUUUGGGAAGAUCUUCUAAUAAUGGUUCUUCCUUUUUCUUGCUCUUCCUCAGAACUGCCAUAAAAACCCCAGAGAAGCAUACAAAUUCAGAAAAGAAAAGGUUCAAAACUGCCAUAAAAAAAAUCCAGAAAGCAUACAAAUUUAUCAGAAAGAAAAGUUCAAAUUACAAAUACCAAAUGAUGUGAGUGAGUAGUGAGAGGUUGUGUUAGGCACCUGAAACACAUUUUGGUUUCAAUUGAAAGGGCCAGAGACAACAUCCACAUUCUUUUUUCUUGGGUGAACUAACCAAAUCAUAUUAUAUACUAAAAUGACAUAAAAAAUCAUUCACAAACUCACAACAAAAUAGAACAAAAAGAUUCACAAAAGAUUUGGGAGUUGAGACGCUAACAAAAACAUUUCUUUUCUAAACAAAUACACAACCGCUAAUCUGGGUUUGGUCAAUUUAACUAAAACGGUGCGCUAUUUUGCAUCUAAAUAUAGUAUAUCGCUUAAAUAAAAUUAAUAAAAAAUACACAUCCAAAGCUUUUAGUCCAAAGCUAGAAUUAGGAAUAACUGAGGAAGUUAAUGAAGGCAAAGCAGAGGGUAGGAUGCAGAACAUACCAAGAGACCAGUAGGCCAUCGGGGCCGGUCUGCCGAUGAACGCUGUGUACUGGUCGACAACGCCCAACGGAGUCGGCGCAGAAAAAAAGUAAAAGUCGAAACCACCCCCAAUGACUUUGUAGGUGAGAGAAGUCCCUAUGUAGAACACAUUCAUGCCAUUGCUGUUGAGCAGCAGAACGCAGUGCGCGUAAGCCUCGUUGCCCACAUUCCGGAGAUCCAUGUAAACUGGGUGGGACCCGUACAAAUCAGUGUUGAGAUUGAUCGCCGAGAAGUCAGUGGUGAAGAUGAUGUAUGGAUCGUUCGGGUAGAGCUUGAUCCCGUGCGGCUGAGAGUUCUCUUCGAGGCCGUACAAGGAGGAGUCUUUCGGCACUCGGGUGGAUAUCUUGAUGUCUGGUCCUUAAACACCAGUACUAGUCCAAUAAACCACUCCGCUUUUAUUGAUUUUCAAUUCAUGUUCAUUCGGGUCCCAAACAAGACUGAACGGCCCCGGAGCCGGGUUGUAGGUAUCUACAUAUGAUAUAAGUGCCCAGACGUGGCCAGCACUGCGGUUGACACCUAACUUCAUACCCGGUAAAAAUGUGUCUCCAGGAUAAUCACUUCAGCAGAUCGAGGGUGAUUUGAGGUGUUUUCCCGCUGAAUUGGACUUCGACCCAGGUAUGAAAGUUGUUCCUCUUAUCGAGAUCUUCAUUCAUGUAAAAUUUGGGAAUUUUAGAAUUGUUGAAUUCUUCGGCGAGUCAGGGCUACCAGCCGCCACGUGCUUCGGCGCGUGGCCCUUUGGCCGCCGUCCCAUGGCGGCUCGUGCGGUGAUGUAUGCAGGAAAACCUAAGGUUCCUCCUUAGGUUUUUCGAUGUACCAAACCCGAAUCCGCCGUCCUUUUUCCAAAAUUCUAACGUUUUCAUAGAGUUUUAUUAAACGACCUUUAAUUGUGUUUAGGUGCAUCGGUGGAAGUGACCUCAUUCUUGAUGGUUCGAGCGGCUUUCGGGCAAUGGAAAACUUGUGAGUAGACCCCUUCUAAACUUAUAUAUUGUUAUAAAAUAUUAGCCUAGCAUGCAUUCCAUAUUUCAUGAUUUGAAUAUGAUUUAUAAUAUGCUUUAUGGACUUUUAAUUAUGGUUUACGAAAUAGUUUGAUUUAUCGAAAUUACGUUUUAUUAGGUAUUGAAUUAUUGGAUUUGCAUAUAUGGAUUUCUAUGGUUUUCAAAUACGAUUUAUAUUACGGUUUUACGAACAUGAAUUAUUUUAUGGAUUUCAUGAAUACAAUUUAUCUUGGAUUUAUGAGAUGAGACUUUGAGCUAGUGAGCUCCGGGUUUGAUAUGAGUUUUGAGAUAUGUUUUUGGUACUUAUCUAGUGGGUUAUCAUACAGCACAUCCGCACACCACGGGUAUAGAUGUGUAUGGCCAUAGGACACAGAUGAUGAGGAGGAGUAAGAUAUGAUAUAUUAUAUACCCCCAGUUCACUAUCGAAAGCAGUGUCAGAUAACCUCACUAGCCAUGGCUAGUGUCGGUAUGGAUGUUAUGCUAUUUCAUACAGCUUCACCUUCGGGUGAUAGACAGGUUAUUUAGCUUCACCGUCGGGGUGAUGGACAUGUACUACCUUCGGCCAACUAUGAUAGCCUUAGUUGAGCACUUCACUGACAAGAUUUACAAAUUUGCCUUCGGGCAACGACAUUUUCAUUAUCAAGCACUGGAUUUUACAUAUCUACCUUCUAAAUGGAUUUUCAUGGCAUGCUAGGGUUUUUCAUAAAGCCUAUAUGUAGUAUUAUAUAUGUUUUCAAAAUAAGGGGUUAUUAUGUUCAUAAAUAAAAUGUUUUCCUAUUAUUAGUAUUAUUAAUAUAAACUUUGGUCCACUCACCUUUUCAGUUUUUGCGCCUCCUCAGGAGUUAGGAUCGAGGCACAUGAUCCCGGCAUCAUGGCAUGUUGAUAUAGGUAUCCUUGAAUCUUCUCAGUGUAGGUAUCAUUCCCUUAUUCAUAUCUUUUUAUAGUGAUUCUUCCCUAUUAUUUCUAAUUAGUUGUAUGCUCUAAACACAUUCCUGCUUUGGUAAUCGUUAUAACUACUUAUCUUGUAAUUGUUUGCAUGUUUAAAAUGGUUUUGUCACCCUUGGGCGUGGGCUAGCACGUGCCUACCCUGGUAUGUUGGGAUAUCGGGGUUGGGGCGUGUCAAAGAUAGAGAGUGAAUUUCUAGCAGAUUCAAUGGUUGUCUACAUUUUAAAAAGAGCUUGCCGAAAAGAUUGAUUCAGAUGAAAUAACAAAGGAUUUCAAUUCCAUUAAGGAUUGAAGGGCACAACUUGAAUAGGUAUUUUUCUUUUUAUUUGUUAGGUUGUUAUGACAAGAUUGACGAUGUAUGUUUCUUUAUAUUGUAAGUUGCAACUUUAAAGGUUUUCUUUGUUAAAUCUAGUUGAAACUUGAUUCAUUUAGAGUUAAAUUUCUUACUUCAAAUUGUUGCUUUUAGGCUUAUUAUUGUGUAACUUUAUGCAAGCAACAAAAAAUUUUAACCAUUUGAUUUUGUACUAAUAAUUUUAGCUUAGCAUGCCACCAAAUAAUUCAUGGCUCCGCUAUUGAAAUCUUAGCAUGUGCAAUUUCAAAGUCUCGGUUGCCAAGUCUCCCCAGGCUGUUCAGCACCCAUUCUGAAUCUUGAUCGAGAUCUAGAGCAGUGCAAGUCAAGGAGUCUUCAUUCUCAUUUGAAACAAUGCUAAAAUUAUACCUCAGCUUGGACUCCUUGGGCAAAAUAUACCCAAAUGUAUUAGUACUACUUGUGGAUACACCACUAGUCCAAAAAAAUCACCUCUCCUUUCUUAAUCUUCAAUUGGUGAGGGUCCCAAUCAAGCGUGAAAGGCCCCGGCGCACGGUUGGCUUUAGUUUCCCAUGAUGAAAUCCACGAAACAUGGCCGUUUGUACGGUUGACACCCAAUUUCAUGCCCGGUAAAAAGGUGUCAACUGGUAAUCAAAGCUUUACGUUCACUUCUUCUUGUACAAAAUUUCCCGAAUCCAAAAGGAUAGCCACAACAGUAGCAAUACUGUUACUUAUGUUGGUAGACCUAGUAGUUUGUGGAGCUGAGAAAAACGCAAUUGGAUUAGGAUCCCCCCCGCAUAAUUUUCAAGGUUUUAUUCCUGUCCAAGGCAAGAGUGCGUACAAAAUAGGGGCUUUACGGUUGCAAAUCCAAGCAAUGUUGCCAUCGGCCUUGUUGCUCUGGAUAGAUACGUAGCUGGUGCUUUUGGAACUGUCGUCGUGUACACAGGAACUGAAACUGAACUUCUCCGAUGCAGAGACCAAAGAAUUUGAGGAGUUGAGAGUGUCUCCUGCUGGUUUCAGUGUGUCCCUUGCAGGUCCACAGUCAGCAUGCAAAAAUGAUUAAGUUGAUUAUUGCCAUGAUUAAUUAAUGACCAUAACAUGAAGUUUAAUUUCUCCAUAUGAUGAGGAAGAAAGACAUGAAAUCCAUCACCAGAACAUGAUUAAGAAUUUAAUCAAGCAACGCGUCUCAGUUAAACCAUUACAAUCUUUGUACAAGGCAUUUAUAAAUUAAAAAAAAAGGGAAUAAAGUAAUAAUUACAAGUUUUACACAAGUGACCAUUUAUUACAAUGGUGGAAAGGUGUUAAGCUUUUGCAUGACGGUGUGAGUUCGAACCUCGUCGGUAGUUAAUCUACGAACCCCGUCGGUAGUUAAUUUAACUUCUAAUCUAAUAAAAUCUAUUUUUUGACCAAAAAAAAAAUAAUUACAAGUUUUACUAAAAAUUUAGGGGUGUGAUAUCCACACACCCCUUUUUACUUCUCUUACACCUUUUUUAUUUUCGACCGUCGGAUAUGAUGAAUUGAAGAAAAUCAACGGACAAAAAUUAACAAGGAAUGUGUGAGAAGUAAAAAGGGGUGUGUGGAUAGCACACCCCAAAAUUUAUCGGAAGACUUGAUCACCCAUUUGUAUGCUGACAACGGUGACUAGAUUCACAACCUCUUUCCCACGUAAAUCACAUCAUCCAAUUUUAUUUUUCUUACAACAUAUCACGUAUCUGUCAUAUGCAAGACUUUUUUUUUUUGUUUAACAUGAAAACGAAGACUUUUUUGGAAUAUGGAGAGUGAAAUUGCAGCGGAAGCAUCCUAGAUUUUUGAUCGAAUAUUGAGUUUGGUUUCAUGCCAGACUUCCUGGAUCAAACACACCCUAAAAAAAUAUAUAAAAAACCAAUAAGGUCAUGUGAUACGACAUCAUUUCAAGAGGAAAGGUACAAACAAUCUAGUUUCUAUACUAGGAAGAUUCACUCGAACAAAUUCUUGGAAACUAUGACUCAAACAAAAUUCUAGGAAUUCAGUAUUUUUAACAAAUGAUAAGCGUUUAAGAUAUAUUCUUUAUAAUAUUAGAGAAAUCGAACGGUUGAUCUAUAACUCGCAAAGUGGUUGUAGCUCAAGUAAUUUUACUCCCCAAUUUUACAUAAAACAUAAAAUAAAAACAAAUCCUAAUUUACAUGGUAAUUUUUUUUCAUAGCUAGGGACAACUUCGACUAUGGUAAUGCAAUUAAUAUACACUAGUUUUGGAUGGAGAAGUUUCAAGAUUGAGUAUGGGAUGGGGAGGGGCGAGAGACUUGGAUGGAGAGGUGAGGUUUUAUGAGUUAAACAGUGAUGCAAGGAUGUAUUACUUAAAACUUUAGAGACCGUAUGUUGGGCUAUAUAUAAUAUACGUUACAUGGAUAAUUGUUUAACUCAUAAACGUUUUGAGUGUUUCUAACAUAUGCUUAUCAAAAGCCUUCUCGUUCCAUCAAACAAUACGAAAAUUUUCAAUUGAAUGAAAGACAUACUAUUUUAUAUAUCACAGUACUUCAUGGAUCAUCAUCAUCACAUAUCCUUAAUUCAAAGGUAAUAAAUGAGCAUCUAGUUUUAUUUUAAUUUUAUUUUAUAUAGGGACUACAGAAGCAAGCACCCUCUGUAAAUUAAACUCUAAAACUUCUCAAGUAUCUUGAAAGGUGCCAAAAGCCAUCAGCCAACUCCAGUUGAUGCAUAACCUCCUACAUUUACAAAAACAGCGUCGCCGUUAAUUUAUUGACUUCUUCCCAGGACACAUACCAAUUUGCGAAAGUGGUUUGACUGAUGCUAUAAUUAGUCGAGUAAAGUACAGUCUUUUCAAUUAAGCAGAUGCAAAACACUUAGUUGAUGCACUACAAAUAUGAUUUUUACCUUUAAUUAACGCGCUUCAAAAUCAGAACUGGACUUGUAGUUUGCUGAAGCAACAGUUUCAAGUUGCUGAUUCCCACUUAUACCAGCCUCCACCGUCCUCCUUCCAACAAAAAAUGCUGGCUUUGUUGGUGAUGCUAAUGGAAAGCUUUCAUUUGUCAACAUAGAUAUGACAUCUGACAUGGUAGGGCGAUCUGCUGCAUUUUCUUCUACGCAAAGCAGACCGACAUGGAUGCAUCUUAACAGUUGCUCUUUAAUAAACGAAUUUCCUAAUGUUGGAUCCGUUAAUUCUAGCCCUGCACCUUUUUUCCAUAACUCCCAUGCCUGAAGAACAAGGAUUGCAUUUCAUUCUAAAGAAGAAAAAUAUGAUUAUAAAUUUUAAGAGAGAGAUUUGUUUGUCAUACAUAUCCUACUAAAUUGAGUGCGCGAUCGUCAUUGUAAAAGCUGUUGUUUUUCCUUCCACUUAUGAUUUCAAGCAUCAAUACCCCGAAACUGUAGACAUCAGACUUUACAGAAAUAAUUCCCCCCACGGACUCUGGAGGCAUGUAACCACUACACCAAAUGAAAAAGAAAAAUAGUCAGUAUACUUAUCUGGAAAAAUGCGUGUUUAGCAGUCAAAAGGGGAGGACCACGUCAAUAUGAUGCAGAAAUACUUACAGUGUCCCCGCAACCUUUCUAGUGUUUGCUUCCAAUUCAUUUUGGGUGAAAAUCCUUGCCAUACCAAAAUCUGAAAUUUUUGGGUUCAUGUUUUCAUCAAGUAGUAUGUUACUAGCUUUUACAUCUCUAUGAAUUACUUUCUUUCUUGAGUAUUUGUGCAGAUAAAGCAACCCUUGAGCAAUUCCUUCGAGAAUGCUAAAACGCUUCUUCCAAUCUAGUAGUAGACCUCUGAUUGGAUCUGUCCAAUAUGUUGAGUUAAGUAGGACUAAUAUUAAUUAAUAGUAGUACUCUAUGAACUUUGACAGUAAAAUAAAAAUCAGAUAGUAAAUUUAACAAAUGAAAUCAAGUAUCUUGGUUCCUCACCAAAUAAAAAGUGGUCCAAACUUUUGUUCUGCAGAUACUCAUAUAUCAACAUCAUUUCUUCACCAUGAAUGCAAAAUCCGAAAAGGUGAACCAGGUUUGUAUGUUGGAGUUCAUAUAUAAGUAUCAGUUCAUUCUUGAAUUCUGAUGUUCCUUGCCCUGAACAUUUCGAAAGCCUCUUCACAGCUAUUUCUUGUCCCGUUGCCAAUUUCCCCUGAAUUGAUAAUCCAUAUCAUGCUUUUGCUGUCAUUUUUAGGCAAUUGAAGCUAAUUCCAUUUUUUUUUUCUUACAGCUUUUGAAUUAGAAGCAGAAAUUUUUGUUUUUUCAAAAUGUUACCUUAUAAACCGGUCCAAACCCUCCUUGUCCUAGCUUGUUUUCUUCAGCAAAGUUUCUUGUGGCAGCCACGAUGGAUGAAUAGCUAAAAACGCUAAAAUCAUGAUGUCGCUUAGAUUCAUGAAGAUAAGCAUUUCGUUCUCAAGCGUUGUCCGGUUCUCACCUAUACAGAUCAAUUAUAAGAAAUUAAAGUUUCAAUGGAGACAACAAUUGUCAAAGAUGUGAUUAAUAAUCCUGUAUUACUGGUGCACAUGAUUUAAAGAAAUAUACCAGCUGAUGCAAGGGCUGAUCUUCUUCGUCGGAGUAGAUAGUACGCGGUGCAAAGCACUAGAGCAGCAGCUAUAGAAAUGCCAAUCCAAACCCAUUUAUCUGCUGCAUCAUAAACAAUUAGCUAGCAACAUAUGCAAUCAGUGUAACACACACGGACAUGUACGCAUUAAUUGUCUUCAAUUUUUGGAUGAACUAGGUCUUGCAGGUUUCUUCCGGAAAACGGAAAAAUUCGAGACAGAGAGCAGAACUUAAGACAACAAUAACAAAGAUAGAGGUACCUAAUAAUACUGAUUCCACGCGUGUCACAGAUUUCCGGCUCAAAUCGGGUUUGCAGCCUCGGUAUAUAUCCUUCGGAUCAAGAAAAGAAAACCCUUUUGGGCAUUCGCAGGUUGGCCUUUUAUCUGGUUUGAGCAUACAGGUACUGUUGUAACCGCAAACACCAACGCCCAGUCGUAGGCAAAUAUCAUCCGGCAUAUACACCAGAGGACUAAUCCAACUUGCAUUUCCCGUGAAGUUUUUCUGGUGAGAAUAUAAAGCGAAAAUCCCAUCAAAAUCAAGAGUUGCCCUUAUGUAGUUGUCCCUCACCGACACUCCCUCUGUCCCCUUAAGAGGGACUCUUCCAUCAUUUUCUCUUAGAACAAACAUGUCCCCUGAGCUGCUGAACACCAAUCGUUUGCCUUGACUACCUGGCACGUUCCCUGACGUGGUCUUCGUGGAGAAGUAAGGGAUGUUGGCAUUAUCUGUUGUGACGGAAAUGAGCACGAGGUUUCCAUCACCUUGCAAGCUCAGCCGGAACCGCCCUUUUGUGUAGUUAGUCUCCGAUUGUCUACACGAAAGCGUCCCGUUUCUCUCAAUUGUCUGUCCAGGCAAAACGGUGUCUGUAGGAUUGCUGAAGGUCUCCCACAAGCUCCCCGAGUUUUGGUGUUGAAGGACGAAGUUUCCGGUGUCAUUCAUGACCCCGUUCGCAACAGUCCCCAAGGUUAUUUCGGAUUUCCAUAUCUCUCCACCCUGAGGAUUGUUAAGAACUAGUCCACUGUUGGCAGUCAAGUUCAGAACUGAUCCCCUAGGUGCAACCAUGGGGUUGUUACCGUCAUAUGCAUACCAAAACUACGGUUUUGUCUGGGAUUUUCGCAUACCAUAUCGAAAGCAAGAAACGAUCAUUGUUUCCGAGGGGCGAAAAUCCAAACGCGAAAUCACCGGAAGGAGAAAGCCAUGAUGAGGAGUCGCCUGUAGUUGCAGUUAGAGAACUCCCAACUGCUACUCUUCCAUUAUUUUGGGAAAUCACAGAAAUUGGUAGCAAAAACAAAGAGGAGAACAAAAGCAUCUCUACAGAAAGAGCCACUGCCAUUGCAAAAGCACCAAUUUUUCAACUUGGCUUGAUUGAUUAGCUAUAUUUCUUAGUAAAGCAUUGGUCCUUGUUAUAUCUUUAAGUAAAUGCGUGUGCACCAUGUGCCUGUCAUUUUCUAAGUUUUUGCCUGGAAUUAAAGGCGUCUACACCAUUUUUUGAAGUCACACACAACAAUAUCUCCGGGCCUACAGAAUAAAUUCUCCGAACCUACACAUAUCACAAGAAUUUCACUUUGAAAAAAAAAAUAUAAUGAAUAGUUCUAUAUAUAAUGACACCGAGACUUUUUGUGAUUGAAUUUAUUCUCUCUCAACUCCUUUGUAAUGUUGCAAGUUGGAGCAAUAUUGACGUAAUUAGCAAUGGUCCGCUGACUUGUCUCUCUCAAAUCUCUUAUCAUCCUACUCUCAUCCCUCGUCUGUUUUAUGAUUCUACUUACUUAAGCACUUAUAAAUGUUCCAAAUCAGCAAAGGACUUGUAACUUAAAUAAUUAAUAAUAUUUAUCACUACACUCGAGAUUCUAGGUUCCAAAAUAUAAUAUAUAAUAUAUAUGAAUGUUUCCGAACCAAAAGGACAAGUAAAUACGAGCAUGACUCACGCUGCAUGGGUCGGCCAUUCAAGUCCACCAGUCAAAAUUCAACAAUGGGGCCCACAAAGAAAAUUUGAAAAAGUACAUGCAGAUUGGGGACGGAUACAAAGAAAAUCUGAAAACAGACCUCCAGAACCAAACAAAGACGACUAAGCCUUUAAGUCAAGUGACAAGAGACUUAUAUCUUCACAAAAACAAAGACGACUAAGUCUCAAUUUCUGUAUUCACAAAAAAAAAAGUACUAACUGAAGUUUUUAAUGUAUGAUUACGUCGUUGGGGUAAAACACCCGAUGCCGAGUUGAGAUAAUCACAGGGUUGGGGAAUCAAGAACCUCUUCGAAUGUCACAAUCUAGCGCAAACGGAUGUAGAGACUCAAACCACUUAUUUUAAAUCAUACGGCCUUCAUUAGCCUAUCCUAUUGACCCACAUGGUCCAAAUCUGUCUCUCCCCUCUCUUGAACGGUUUGGAUAUCUCGAUUUGUCGAUUUUGGAUUGCGAGAUUCAAAGAGAAUCUGAUUUCAUGUUUGAGGUGAGGUUUGACGACCAUUUGAAGCCCGUUGAGGCGUGGCCCAUCUCAUCAGGUCGGGUCAGCCAUUUCGUACCAGGUUGGAUCCCAGGUCAGGCCAACCAUUUCAUUAGCCUAAGAUGGACCUGACAGACGAGGCGCUUGGAUAUUGCCUACCGCGACCAAAUGGACCCAUGGACUCAUUAGAUGAUGAGUCUGGACCCUGGUGUGUGUAAAGCCCACCUCAGCUCGAUCCAUAUUCGAUCGAUACUACAAAGAAGGUGGAUAUGAGGUAAAGGUAGAGUAAGCUCCAAGUCAUGUGGAGGUCAGUCGAGAUUGAACACACGUUCAUAGAAUCAUAGUAUCAAAUUCAAGUCCAAAUUUUAACACUACGAAACCGAAAAGCAUUGUUUCAGUCCAACAACCCAAACUUCCUUAAAAAAACUAAGACAAAAACGACGACACUAGGAAACGGAAAAACAUGCAACUCAGAAAACCAUUACUCUAGUCCAAAUGAGGUUCCUCAAUGCCUCAAGCUUUUAUAAAACACCAUAGCCUGAACCUUUUCCUUUGCGCCUUCUUUGCUUCACCAGAAACGUUCUUAAUGAGCUCCUCUUCAAAUUUGGGACGAGCAGGCAUUAGGCUGUGCACAAUGCUGUAAACGCCCCUAGCCCUUGCCACACCCUAGGUGCGUACGCGUGCAUGUCCGACCUGAGUUAUCUUAUUACGCGCGCAGUUUGAUCUUCCCGUAUUGACAUCCCUGCUGUCUAUUCUCCUGCGAAUCCUUCUGCUGGUGACUUCAUCCGAGUCCAUUUUCUUGCUCCUCAGUGCAUGUUCAUCUGCUUUUCCCUGUUAAUAAAUAUAGGAAUCCCAUAACAAACAGCAUUUGACAAAACAGAACGUAAUAAUAACAACAAAACUUGACUCCAUCCUCAGUGCAUGUUCAUCUGCUUUUCCACUUCAAAGCAGCUGACGGCACGAUUCGUACUUGGACUCCAAAAUGUCUAGAUUAUGGAGAAACCAGCCUUCUAUCCAAAACACACAAAGAAGUGUAUUUUCCGUUUAUACCAAUUAAGUGUGUUGAAGCAUGUCCCACAUGGCCACAUAGGAAACUUGUUGAGGUUUAAAUCCUCUUAUAUAGAAAGUUCGACUACUAAUUGCCUUGAGGCCUUAAUUCUGUAUAAAACCAUACCUAUUGAAUUGCACACGUGCUUAAGUUAAGGUCAGUAUUGAUGGUAAUUAGUAGUGGGCUGCUGGGCCGUCUUAAAAAAACUGGUACAAAGGGCAAUUUAUAGAAGCAGUGUUGAGAUAAGGGCAAUUCAUCUGUUCUUUUUAGAAGGAUAUAUAUGAAUGAAGCAAGGUUUAUCUGCUAAUGCGGCUCAGCCCUUUAUCAAAAAGUGAAAGAUCAAAAUUACUUUUACAGCAAGAGCAAUACCAGAAGAUGUAAUCUAAAUUAUUUAUAUUUGGUUCCCUUGAAAUCCUUUUGACUGCUUCAACAUACUAUAUGCAGACAGAACCAGAACCAAGUCCAGACUCACUCGUAAUAGGUCUCCUCAUCCACAACAAUAUCCCAGCUUUCCCUUGUCGUGGUUUUCCCAUAUUUGUGCACCUUACUGCAAAGAGAGAGCAAGUUAACUUGUCAAAGAAAAACCAGAACAAUAGAUGCCAAUGCAGUUCAAAAAGUUUAUUUCCCUUCAUACCCAUUUCCGAAGUGCUCUUCUCCCCAUGUCCUUGACCAACCUAGACAUGAGAGAACAAAAACAGAGUUACAUCAGAUUAAAUUAUUGAAAGAAAAAGGUUCACUUCUGUUGUAACAAAUCGACAUUAGAAUCAAGCAACCACGCUAUGAAAUACAAAUUUAAAAUGUAACAAUUUACUGUGUCUAAAAGGAAUCUUGAAAUAAAAUAGUUAAACCCUAAACAGCACCACUGCAAAUAGCAUAAGAAAAUUAAAAUUAACCCUAAAGAAAUUGGGAGAGAAGAAUAUGAAAAGGGAAUACCUUUCGGCCCCUUUGAGUUAUUGGAAAAAACCCAACAGAGCAAAAGAUAAACAAAAAUACAGGCGGAAAGAAAAUAAAUUUUCAACUUGUAAGAUUCAUACGCGAACAGAUUGGUGGUCAAAAGCAUUUCGGAAUUCAGAGCCAUCAAGCUUUUUGAUCUGCAUGGAAAUUAUUUAUGAAGUUUGAGAUUCUUAUAGACGCUUUAGACACAUCGACAUAUUGAGAAAGCAAUAUUCAACAACCUAGUACCCAUGCUCCAUAGAAGGUUGAGAAAAUAUGAAUGUCUGGACUCUGGAGUGAGAAAGUAAAAGGACUUACCGCAUACUUCAUAUCUUCUAACUUUGUGUAGUCUACAAUCCCUGUUGUGCCUACAAAAAAGGCAUAGGACAAAAGCUAAAUCAAUCGAAAUUCUGAUGUCAUGAUCUAGGUCUUAGGAUUAAACUAUUGAAAUAACACUAUAUGAAAUAGCAGUGUAUAUCCCAAAAAAAGUAUGAAAUCUGGUUGAUAAUUGCAGAGUUCGAAGGGAUUUACCUUUGGAUUCUUCGGCUUUCAGAUGGAGUUUGCUUAUGUAUGGGAGAGAGAGGUGGAGCGGCUAGGGUUUGAGUAUGGAAGAGAUGAAAAAUGGAGAGAACACCUGUUUUGGCUGCAGCAACUCACACACUCCGGACAAAUCUGCAAAUGUCUAAAGGGGGGAAAAUAUAAAAAGAAACCUUAACAACUGAAUUCAAAGAAACAUUAUUACAUUGUAAAUAGCAUUUCACAAAAAAAAUAAAAUAAAAUAAAAUAUACUAAACUAAACUAAUUACACUCGGAUUGCAAUGCUAUCAUUUAAUAAUAGGAAUUCCCAUAACUUAGCAGAAGAUCCUGCAUCUGCAAAGGAUCCUUUAAAACCUAUUUUUUUUAACAACCCCACACCUGCAACACAUCCAGUCAAGGUAAACCAAUAGCACCCUCAUGCAGAGCUCUUCUGUGCAUAUAUACCCCUUAUAAGUAAUCUUAAUCAAUCAGUUAUCAUGAAUAUACAACUUAUAUUAAUUUUCUACAAUAUCCAACACACAAAUAUAACAGAAGAGGAAACUUUUACUUAAGCAGCACAAAAUGAUAUCCUCUGCAUUUCAUUCCAAAAUCCAUCACUCUUAUGUCUUUGCCUGCACAGUUUUUGCUCCAACAUAGCCUGCAAUGAUGAUAUAGCACUAUCAAUAAUUAAGACAUAAAGAAAGGCUAUCCUAGCUAGGUAUUAUGAUUGGAGUAAACCAACAACACCAUAAGUAAAGUAGCAGACCAAAUUUUUUUUAGAAUUGAUGUCUUAACAUGUUUAAGUAGCAAAAAGAUUACAACACAUUGGAUGUGUUAACACGUCCAUAAGCUGAUGACUCCCUCUCCGGUUUACCACAUCAUUCUUAAUGUACUCAACAAUGCAGCAGCAAUUAAAAGUCCUUGGAAAAUGCCAAGCUACUACAAUGACAUAACGAAAACUAUAUCUCACCUUACACCCUUGUUGGCAUAGACAACAUAUCCGUCCUUGUUCGGGGUGAAUCAUAAUCCUGAAUUCAAUUAUCAUCAUCGUCGAGAAUGUCAAACUGUAAAUCAACCAUGCAUGGAACAAAACUUAGAAAUUAAACAAUUAUCAAAGCUUAUGAAGAAUGCUAAACCCAACUAAUUCGAAACAUAAAGUAACCCGAAAGAGAGAAAACUUAUAAAUUUUACAUAAAUUAUAAUCCUUAACAGAAGGAUGGAACAAAACAGGUUCAUUCUUAAGAAUAGAUGUAACUAGUAAUAGGCCUGCGCGCUGCUGCGGGACUUGAAUGCACCAGCCUUAACAACAUGAAUAAGACACAUUUAACAUGAAAAAAAUUCAACAUAAUCAUGAACGAACAAAAAGGAUAGCUGAGUGAACAGUGUUCGUAAGUAAAACAGCUUAGUUUUUAUAUACAUUCAACCAAGCUGAUUACAAAAGAUGUGAUUGUAAAAAAUGUUCUGCUUACCUGAGAAACAAAAGCAACAUGCAUUUUACACAUACAAGACAUCUGAUAUUAAACCUAAAAUCAUGUAAUUCUGUAUGAAGUGGAGAAUAAUGCAGAAAGAUGGUUUUCUAUAGUGCUGCCAAUGACAAUUAAUUUCUCAUGAAAAAAAAGAAAAGAGAAACACAGGUAUAAAAGAAUAUUAUUUUUUAUAGUUGCAAACAUUAUGAAUUCCAAAAAGAAAAACUACAGAUAACACUUCAAUCACAGAUCUAAGCAUCUAAAACGUGGCAACCCAGAUACCAUUCAAGACAUUGCUCAGCAUCAUGGAUAAACUAACCUAUCUGUGUCCCUGUGCUCACUGCAUGUCAUAUACACCCGACCAACUGGGCAUAGGAGCAUAAUGAGGAAAACUUUCAGCACCAUUUUGUACCUGAAAAAUGAGGGAGGAACUAAUUAAAGCGUUCCUCACUUAGAAUAAAUAAUGCAUGCAUAAUAGCCAAAUGGACAUUGCGCAUAUAAAUUGUUGUGGCAAUAACUUGCAAUAGAAAACGUAGUUAAAAAUAAGAUAUACGAAAUACCAACAUUGCAAUGGUAUUUUUUUUUUCCAUUCGAUUGUACUGAAGCAUGCAUCUUAAAUUAGGUACUACGUGAGGUCUCUAUAAUGAAAUGGGAGAUUGAAUACACUUGACGAAACUGAAAAUUCAAAUAUGCACACGCUCCAUAGUGUAUCUUCACAACCAAAAGAAACGUUUAUAUAUACGACAUAUGUUUGACAUUGUUUUUCCCCACUCAAAUCGUCUUGAGAAAAUUUGACUACUAAAAACUACAAAACUUUGAUUAAAGAAUCAAAUAGAAUAGCAUGAGAAAGUUAUUAUUACACCAUACCUGACUUUUUUGCAUAUAAAAACACCUGUAUUUCACCUGAUUUUGUAAUGAAAUACAGAUGCUUGUAGUUCACCAGUACAUAGCUGCCUGUCAUUUGUUGUCUUCUUCGGGUUCAAGAUCCUUAUAUUGUCUGAGACGUGAAAGAAUCAGAAAUUGUAUACAGUUUGAUAAUGAAACAUGUAAUGUGAUUAUGUGACAACAAUGCACUCCUCUCUCUCAGAGAGAUAAACAAAGAUAUCAAAAACAGAGAGGCAAUGUUAAGAUAAACAGAAAGGCAAUGUCACAUUGUUUUGCAUGAUCUUGAAAAUUGGGGAUAAGGUAUUCAAAGUGCUAACAAACACGUGCAAAUGGGGAUAAAAAAGGGGAUAAAUUGAAAAAUAUAUAUGCUCUUAAUCGAGAACUUCAUCAAAUAAACAAUAAAAUCUAAUGUAAUCUGUCCAAAACCAAAGAGAGUGAUAAUUUGGAGGCACUAUAAUGUCUUGGGCAUCGCAUACUUGCGGUAUAUGAUUGAUGCAUCUGUUGCUCAAUCAAAUCAUUUGCUUGGCUAAAAAAGUUAUUUUUACAAUAAAUAGAUUCGCAUCCAAUUUAUGAGAAAUCAUGCAAAAGUAAAUGUAAAUGAUAACGGAAUCAUGAAUGCGAAUAAGAAACACAUACAUGCCAAAAAGAAAACCUACUAUAGUGUGUCAAGUUACUUGCAACAUAAUUUUUUAUGCCAUUAUCCAUUUCGCAAUACUUUAAAAAAAUUUCGUUUGAAAAAGCUUUGCUAUGAUUUUUAGGUUUGGGAAAAAUAAUACCAUAAAAAUUAAAAAACAAUUACUAAAAAUCAUGGCCUGUUAAUAGCAAAAUACACUCCUCAACAAUGUAUAUGAACAUGUGAGUUGAAAAUUUGAAAUAUUCAACAACUAAAAGAAAGAAGCAAAAUCAGAAGAAAAGAAAGAGAUACUCACUCAAAAAUAAAGAUGUAAUAAUGCCAGGCUUCUUCUCCUCGGCAUCCAGAAUUCCAUUGUUGUCUCCAUCUUCAACCUUCAAUGUAUUUAAAAUAUGAAAUGGAAAAAACCCAGAAGAAAUCAUUACAUAAAAUAAAAUUAUCCAAGUAAAAUUAAAGGAUGGAUAGAAAAGAAAUGAAGGCAGUUUAUUCGGACUUAAUUAGAGACUUACUGAAUAAGCUUGAAAUCUAUCUCACACAUCUCUUAAACUUCAACCCCUAUCCUCCUUGCCUCUGUAAUAUGCACACAUAUAGAAAAAGAAAUCGACUUUAGAACCUACAUUGAUACAUAUCUUGUGUGAGUAGGUCUUUCCUGCUUUUCCCCAAUCAUGCAUAUCAAAGAAACGAAAAAGAAGGAAAUCACCCAUAUAUAUAAUACCUUAAGUUUAAAUGCAUCCCAAUUUUGGGUUCCAACGUCACAGAAAGAAUGUCUUAUACAUAAUUUAACAGUACCCCCGACAUCGGUCCAUCCAUUCGUAUUAAUAGUUAUUGUCUGCACAAACCUCAAUUACCUUACAAUCUAUCAUUAUUGACAUAAAGUUCAUACAAUAUGGGACAUCAUGACCUCUCUUUGGCCAGCACCAGUUUUUCCAAAAUGAAAUCAACUAUUACUGCAUUAAUUAUGGGUCCAUCUGGCCAAUUCAUUGAAUUCGCAGACCCAAAAAUUUCACCAAUUAACUGAAUUUACAUACAAAUGGGAGAAGUACAAAAACAAAGACAAUGGCAUAAAUUAUACCAUAAAAAUUACACUACGAAAAAUUUAGAGACCAAAAUCCUUGUUAACAGAAUUUAUUCACAUUAAAAGACACAAUUUCGGUUCAAAAAACUAUCAAAUUUAAACUUUGAUAUCAUAUGAUAAAAUCUUAAUUAAACUCACAAUCUCAAGAAGUUGAAACCAUGUUAAGUAAAAGAAACAAAUUGAAAAAAAUUAAGAUGUAAAUAUUGAUAAGAACAACAAAAGUGGCAAAUACAUUAUACACAGAUAGGACCCUGAAAUAUCGGAACCAGCAGCAACAAAUAGAAUUAAGAAGAAAAAGGAUUAGCAGACUUAAUAAAUGAGAAAUAGGAUAACAGGUACGAACUCAGUUUUUCCACUAUGAAUAAGAGAUCCAGUGGCAUAACCUAACAUUAGGUAGAAUCAAUGCUGGUUGAUUGAAUUUUCAUUCCCUGAAAAUUCAGAAAAUGAUGUGUUUUGAUCUGCAGAUAGAAGCAUUCUAUAUAUAUAAAAAAAAAAUAUAUGGAGACAUGAUGAGGUUCAGAAACCAAACCAUGUCGGUAAAAUCCUCUUGGCAGGUUGCUCAAGGUUGACCUCCUAGCCCUUGGACCAGUCAGGAGACUUGGCCUCCUGCUUUCAAGUUUGGAAGGGAAGUAAAAGGUUCAGCCAAUAAGUAAAAGAAUUGAUUCAGAGGAUAGAAUCAAAAUUUCAAAAAUAUUAUUUGAUGCGAUUAAAACUGUUCCCAAUGAUAAAAUGAAUAAAAAAAUCCAUUGGAAUAAAAGAAAAAGAAUGAUUAAAAUUAUUCACAACCCUUGCUGUUUUUACCUAACCAUUUGUAGGAUCCAUAAAGGGCCAAAAAAAGUUUUUUACUUCUCCUCUAGUCCCAUAAAUUUGGAUUCCAUCUCGUCCAAGCAAACUAACAAUCAUUACUAUACUUUGUUUUAGCAUGCGAACACAAAUCUCAAAAAAAAUAGAUAAUUCAUUUACAAAUUUAAAUUCAAUUUUUAUAUCUCGAUAUUUGUUUGUUAAACUCAAUGAUCAAACUUCAGACUCAUGCCUUCCAAAAAGAAAAGAAAACGAAGAAGAAUUGAAAGCACUUCCCAUUCCAAGGAAAGAGCAGCCAUAAUUAGGAUCCAAAACUCAUUCUUUAGUCUCCUCAUCUGAAGCUAUAUAUAAUCAUUGAACAAAAACGUUUAACGUCCAGCAGAAAGCAAACUGCAAUCAAAAUUUCAAAAAAGCAAAAUAAUGCGCAGAUAAUCGACAGCUGCAACAAACAAAAAAUAGAAAAAUCAAAUGCAGAUUGAAGGAAAAAUCGAGACCGCAAUCGAAACUCAUGCUUGUAUGGGUAAUUAAUUGUAGAUACCAAAUCAUCAAAAACCACUUGUCUACACCAAAUUGCAUACAAAAGAUAUUGGGGCAACUCAGAUUGUGCAAUGAAAAACAAAGUCAAACUACGACGUAGAUGUCUAUCGGAAUUUCAUUCAAAGAAUGAUUAAAUAAAGACAAUGGCAUGCCAAAGAUUAAAUACCCUAAGCGACAGUGUCAGCCAUGAGCUUCCCUCUGUGAGAGCACAGGGGUGUAACUGCAAAAGAAAGCCGGAGACUGAGGGCAAACUGUAAUUUCGUCAAAAAGGAGGAAGUGUACAAAAGAGAAGUGACAGCAAUAAGCGUAGACGCCAAGGACAAAGUAAAUAUGUAUUUGUGAAUGGGGUUAAGCUGCUGCUAGCUUUGUAUAGUGUAAUAAUGCAAUUGCAAAUAGACCAAGUUACUGCUACUAAAAGCUUUUGCAAAAUCAUAAAACUCUUAACAGUUUGAACCCUACCGAAAAGUUUAUAUGAGUUAAAGAACAGUCGUACUUAAGUGCAGCAAGAUCAUAAGCUCUUGCAGCUUCUCCUCCAUAUCAGAACCACCUGCAGUCCAAAUUAACCAAGAUUCAAGGCCAAAGCAAGAACAAAUUAGUGAUAAUUUAAACUAAAGUCCCUAAUUAUUGUUGCAGAGAGAAUUCAUAUCAAGAUUAACGACAUUAUUUGAUUCGAAUGGAAUCCAAACGCAGCAUAAACAUGAAAGGUAAAAAAUUAAUACCAAAAGUCACAUUUAAGCAGCAAUUAAUAGCAUAAAUCAGAUUUUAGUGGCAUGGACCAAAAUAAUUCAGUAAAAAAGAAACAAUCCCAAACAAAUAGAAAGAACUGGAGAAACAAUUCGAAACAAAUCUUCGGAAAGCAACCCCAUCCCUCCCUCACCCUCUCUCUCUCCAAUUCCAACUUCUCCCUACAUCUCUCUGUCUAUAAUAGAUGUGCAGUUUUAUUAAUCUUUGUUGCCGAAGCGUGCAAGAUAGUGAAAAGAUUGUUUAUCUAAGAAAAAAAAGGGCACAUUUUAGAUGGAGACAGAUGGCAUUUAACAAAUUCUUCAUUAGUGGAGUAAAUAAUUUGCAACCACCUAUUUCCUGGUAGCAUUAAAAAAAAAAUUCAAUUUUAAAAAAGAAAUGUACUUUUUAGUUCAAUUUCCACAGCCAUAGUAAUUUAUGUGGACUAAAAUUAAGAUUAACUAAUACAUCCAAUCAACUGCAACUAAACAACUUAUAGUAAUUGAAUCUGUGUUUGUGGAUGUGAGAGAGAGAGAGAGAGAGUUAUCUAUUAUAAAGCCAACCUUCUUUGAAUUGGUCCUCUUAUGGCUUAUUACCAAAACUCUCCAUUGCAUUUGCAGUAAUGCCCUCUGCUUCUCCUCCUGCGAAUUAUCAUUCUGUAAGUAAAAGGUACAAAAACAUCAAUUACUUAAUGGUAGAUAUGUACUUUAGACUUUUGAAGAUCCAAUUCAUCCUGCAUCUUCUCACACUCAUCUUCAUGCUGAAGCUGCAAACCUGUCAGCUCAGCUUCAAGUUCGCUCCUCAUUGAAGUUAUUUUCUAUGAAAAUGAUAAACUGGUUUGUAACGUAAGCAUAUAACACUCUAGUUAAAUUAGUAGUUCCAACUUAAUUCAAAGCUAAAAACGACAUUAAUGACCACAAUUUAAGAAUCCAGAAACAGCCCAAACUAACAACACACACAGAGGACAGACACUGAAAGACAUAUUUUUUUAGAGAACCUAACUAAAAAUUAAAAACAAACCAAGUAAAAUUUUCAGAGUUUAAAAACAGGAAACCAUUACAAUCUUUACAGAAACCAACUAAAAUUGGAAUCUGAAAAAAAAUCCGCUCAAUUUUAACAGCCCUGCUGCAUAUAUUGGGUUUUUUUAGGCAUGAGACAACACAAACGAAGAAAACAUAACAUAGUUGUAAACCUUAGGCUCCAAUCAGGUCAAGUGUGAGAUUUCAAACACGGAGAUUUACUCCAUGUUUAAAAACUGCCAAAUACAUUGCCAACUGUUAAGAGUAUGAACUACAAAUCUAUAAAGUAAAAAGACUUGCAGAUAAGUUUAAACAAUCAACAUUCAACUUAUGAUUGUUACUGUUUUUUAGCUGGAUGUUCACAUUCUAAUAAGGUAUUAAAAGAGAUUAUAAGCGUGUGUGCUCUUAAACCACCCAACACCAUGUAUUAAUCAAAUAAUUAACAUCUAAAGAUGGAGACAUGAAACACGAAACCUGCAAUUAGAUCCCAAUCACAAAAUGCCAAAAAAAUCCUAAUCUAACCAUCCCUAUACUAAUAGCCCAUUCGAGCAGCUAUUAGCACCUAACCCGCUACUUUGGCAACCCACCAACCCGCCACACCGUCAUGUCCCAUCCCCUCUCCACCACUCACUAUAUCUCUCACCUUUCUUUCUUGACAUUUCGCUCGGUGCACACAAACACCAAGCCAACCAUUGCCGGCCUUUGUCUAAAAGUGGACAAAAUCCCAUAGGUCCUGGCAGAGGACCUAGCUAAAUCUCUCUCCCACUCAGUCGAAACCCGUAGCUACCAUUUCUCUCCAAUCUGUCAGUCUCUCUGUCCCCCUCUUCUCCUCCCCCCAACAACCCUCUGACCGAUGCAUCACCCACAGCCACACCCACCCGCACCCGAGUCAAAAAUCCCAACGAUCCUCUCCCUCCAACCCGUCAACAAAUUAUGGAUUCCGAGAAUGUAUCUUGAAAACUCAGAUGCACAUGAUUAAAAUUAGUAGAUAUUAAGGACGUGUACUUAACAGAACAACACGAAGAACGAAUGAGUACAUUACAAACUAAAUGACCGUGUCAGCUAGAUACUUCUUAAAGAACACCUCUAAUCUACCAGUAUGAUUACUCAGUUUUUGGUUUUUAAAUUAAUACCCUAAACCUUACAUUCAAACUCAUUUCGAAUGCAAACAAAAGUAAAUGAUAAGUCCCGAGCUUUUCUUUCUAGCCUCAACUCAACUCAAGUUCCCAACCUUCACCUUCCAAUACAAAGAAACUAACGCAUCAAUCUGCAAUUUCGCAAACAUAUAAUUCAACUAACCAAGUUCUGUGUCCACUCAAAUGCACAUAUUUGAGCUCAAUCAAACUUAAAUUUGAAACAAAUAGUGAUGAAAGAUCAAACAUUUAUACCUAGCUUAGGAUCCGAACCAAUCUCCUCUUUCGCCUCCCUCGUCGCCGUGUCCCCAUCGUCCUUGUCCCCCUCCUCUGUUUUCCCACCCGGCAAAGAAACUUCACCUGCAGAAACACAAAACCAAAAAUUAAAAAACCAAUCUUUCCCAUUUCCAUUUUUAUCAAUUUCCUCAAUUUUUCCCAUUUCCAGAAAAAUGAGCAAGAAGCUUAAGCAGGAAAAAAAUCAUAAUUUCAACAACCAAAACCCAAUACCCGUUUAAUCAUACACGAACGAAAAAUCUAAACACAGAGUCACAGAUUAACGAACUGAAAACCCAAAAAAAAUAAAGGAAACUGACCUUACUUAAGAACAAUACAUAGAACACAGAGAAACGAAACAAAUAAAGGAACCCCCAAAACCAAAUAAAGGAACCCUCAAAACCUGACCUAACAGUGCAACAAAAUCUGGAAAUAAUUCACAGCAAAAAGGCAGAAAUGAUGACAAUCUAUGCUAACAGUAAAGAAUCGAAUUAAAAAUUGAACUUAGCUUUUGAAAUCCAGCCACUCAUCCGACAUGCAAAAGGGAACGGAUGAUCGAGAGUGAAUCAUGGACUGAGGGACCUUACUCGACCCAUCAUUGGAGCUACGUUUGUAGCUUUUGGGGAGAAAAAAAUUGAAUGUGAAAGCUGCUUUUGAUGUGGCCAUUAAGGUGGUGCUUCAGCAACCGAAGCAAAAGAAGAAGAGGCAGAAAAAUGUGAGUAUUCCAUGAAGAAAAAAAAAAGGUUAAAAAAUCACUAAAAAGAAAAGGCAGAAAAAUGCAGGGUAUUCCAUGAAGAAAAAUUCAACAAUUAAAUAAUAUAGCUGUAAACCUUAGACUCCAAUCAGGUCAAGUGUGAGAUUUCAAACACAGAGAUUUACUUCAUGUUAAAAAACUGCUAAAUACAUUGCUAACUGUUAAGAGCAUGAACUAUCUGUAAAGUAAAAAGCCUUGCAGAUAAGUUUAAACGAUCAACUGUCAACUUAUUAUUGUUGCUGGUUUUGAGGUGGACGUUCGUAUUCUAACAUGGUAUUAAAAGAGAUUAUAAGUGUGUGCGCUCUUAAAUCAGCCAACACCAUGUAUUAAUCAAAUAAUUUAUAUCUAAAGAUUGAGACAUACAACAUGAAACCUGCAAUUAGAUCCCAAUCACAAAAUGCAAUAAAAAAAUUCCUAAUCUAACCAUCCAUAUACUAACAACCUAUUCGAGCAGCUAUUAGCACAAUUUACCUCCCUCUCUAUUCUUCCCCACCCCCUCUUUAACCAAAUAAAAACUCAUUUGUCUCACUAAAUAAAAACCUCAAAUUUGUUUUUUCAAAGCUGCAACAACAUCACUAAAAACACCAUGUAAUAAAAAUUUAAAAAAACCAAUCCAAUUUAAGUCGAGAAGCAAAUGACCAAACCUCCUAUUUUGAGGAAACAUUUUGCAUUCAAACCUAAAAUGCUUGCCUGCAAAGAAGGAUUAAAUAGCAAAGCAGACUUUCGGGGGAAAUAAAAAAAACAGACUAUUUAUAAUACAAUAAAAAUAAAGUAAUUCAUCAUCCCCACCAUCUCUGUGAGCUUUAACAGAACAGAGGAAUCAAAUUAAGCAAUAUAUAAAUUUAAGUUGACAUUCCAGUGUUCUACCUCUAACCUUGGUAGCAUGCAUGCACUGUAAGUUAUAAAGUGAAUUAAGCCAAGAUCUUCUAACUUCAUGAUUUUCACAUAUGCAUUAGAUGGAGAAAUACAAUAAAUAAUCAAAUAUGUAAGACUCUGAUAUUCAAAACCAAACAAACCCAAUUACACUUUUAGUUCACUAACCCCAUUGAAUAAAAUCCAAUUCAAUAAAAUAACAGAAAAUUAAACAACCCAAAAAUCAAAACAACCCCACUUGUAGUUUUAGCUCACUAAUCCGUUGGAUAAAUAGAUGCCAAAUUCAAUCAGAAAACAUACAAUUAACAACAACCCAGAAGAGCCAUCCGAAAACCCAACCAAUUAACCAAAAAAUACCACUUGUUCUUUUAGCUUAGUAACCAACCUCUACUUGUUUUCUGGCAAAUUUGGGGUCCUUUGAUUUCUAGACUUUCAGUAGAAACUGAUUAUACCAUGGGCUAAUAUUCAAGUACCACAAAAUAUAAUUUUACCGUAGUAAGCUUUUUGAUUCACUCCAAACGAAGAUAUUAUAUGUUCACAUAUAUAUAUUCACAACCAUAAAAAGAAGAACUUAUCUCUGGCAUUUUAAUAAAAAUAAAAAUAAAUUAUUCACCCACAGUAAAAACCGAAACAGCUAAAUUAAACCCAAAAAUUAAUCAUGAUCAUACAUAUGUAUUCCUGACAAAUGUUUAGCCCUUUAAUUAAAACACUAAAAUAAAAAAUUGCUCACCCACAGUAAAAAACCGAAACAUGCAAACCAAAGCCCAAAAUUUAAUCAUCACUAUUACUUUUUUUUUUUUUGGUGUUUUUAAGUUUCAGGGAAAAAUGGAAGCACAAACAAUCAAAAAACCCAAACAAAAAGAAAUUAACACCAAAGAGAUAAAUUAUAUACCUGACCCAGAAAAAGCUUGGAAGCUCACAUAAUGAAACCCUAAAACUCGAAGAAGGAUGCUUCCUGCAAACCAAAUACAAAAUCAGACUCUCUCUCUUAGAAAGAGAGAAGUUAUCAAGUCCUGUACUUGGUUAUAUUUGUUCAAGUUAGGAAAAAUCGAGUACAGGGUUGGUACCUGGAGCUUGAGAAAUCAGAGAGCUUGCCUGUUUGAGAAAAGAUGAUAACAACAGCUUCAGAUUCACACAGAAAACGUACAAAAAACGCACAACAUGCUCUCUGCCCUCUCUCUCUCUCCCUCCCUGUCCAUCCGUCCCUCAAAAAGUGGGAAAAAAAAUCUCCAAACGUCUCUCCCACUCAUGAAAUCGAGGAUCUGCAGCAAUGGCGCUGAGGUCGCCACUCCUCCCUCUCCCUUUCUCUGUCGCUCUGUCUCUGUCUCUGUCUCUGUCUCUGUCUCUCUCUAUCGAAGGCAUGGCCUUUCAUCCCCGAAACCCUCACUGAAUGACAGCAAACCCAAACCCACCCCAAUCCGUCUCAAACACACAGGACAAAAUUGCCCUUCCAACCCAGCCCCAAUACCAGCCCAAACCUUACGGUUUUGUUGUAAAUAGCGUGAAAUCGAGUGGCUCCCUGAUAAGCCAUAUGGACAAAAUUACCCUCUGAAAUUUUGAGAAUCACCCUCCCAACCCACUCCCAUUCGGCUGGUACUGUUGUAAAUAAAGCAAAAUAAAAACAAACGUGAAUAGUGCCUGCCCUCCCCCUACUUUAGUAUAGAUAAUUUUGCACAUUGCAUAUAUGUAGAUUAAGGACGGUGGUAACAUACCUUGUAAUUUGUACAAAUUAGGAUUUUCAUUCAAAGAACUAUAAUAUACACAAUUACAAAAAAAGUGAUUCAAACUUGUUCUUCUCUUAAGGAAAUUACUCACAGUUGAAAUUCUGAAUGGAUGAAGUUUUGGCUUCCCUUUCCGACUAUAUUUGAUUAACCUUUUUUUAAUCCAAUGAGUGCCUUCAUGAGAGAGAGAGAGAGAGGAAUAUUAGGUGAAAAGUAUUGCCAAAUCACACAGAGAUCAAAAUCUUGAAUAUAUAUGUUUAACCAUGUCAAAGUGAGUGUGUAAAGGGUGUAGUCUGCAGAAAGGGCAACAUUUUCACUGCUAGAAAGUUGGAAACUAAACUUUUACACAGAUAUUGGAUUUUAUUAAUUCCCUUCGCGAAUUGAAAAGCAAAUUGUUCGAGUAAUGCAGGUAAAUUCGAUAUACAUAUGCGUUGAUCUAUGUGACGGUUAUAAGUUAUAACUGUAUUGUCUUAACGCAAAAAUGAUCAUAAAUGUAAGUGUCUGUAUUAUGGAAGUAAGGGACUUACAGCAAUUGCUAUGAGCUUUAACAGCAGUCACUCCAAGUACCUUAUUACGGAAGUAAGGGACUUACAUCAAUUGCUAUGAGCUCUACCAGCAGUCUCUCAAAGUGGUGCAAGGGCUAAAAUUAUAAAUAAAAAGUAAUUUAAACAAUUUAACUUAAUAAAAUAUUGUAAUUUAAACAAUGCCUAUAUAUUCAAACAUCCCAAAACAGGAAUGAACUUCUAGAAAACAUGCGCAUGAAAAUAAACGGCAUUACUCACCCAUUGAGUUGGACCAUCAAACUGGAGCGUAAGAAGGAUCAUCAUGUACCUAUGAAACCCAAAGGAAAAUUUUAGCAACCCCAAAGCUUGUAUGCAAGCGUGAAUAAGUAUGCGUGUAUGAAUCUAUUCAUAGUGAAGAAGGCUACCUUAAGAAAUAUUUGCAUCUGCAGCUUCAUAUGGCCAUACAACAAAAAGCAUCGCAUAUGAUAACAAACCCCAGCUGCACCACAAAAGGAAUAUGAUCUUCCUCUCGACUUGUAUUUGCAGUUGUUACUGUAACAUCUGCAGACAGCAUACAUAAGCACUGAUUCGAUAAUUCUAAAGGAAAAAAAGUUCUUAUUCGAUAAUGCACCAAAUCCUAUCCAAAAACCAAGGGGGUGCCAUAUCCCUAGAUUAACAGAGCAUCUUUCUUUGUUCCAAAACAAAUUGCAAUUGGCUUUGGUAAAGUAGAAAGAUUACCAGAUACCGACUCUGUUCCAUUAUUCGACUGUCCUUUUAGUUCUAUCUCUCAACAUGGGAAAUACAAUAAGACAGUAAAGACAAAAGUUAGUGAUGCUAUUACAUAGUGAAAGAAAAUAAGACAUUCACAUAUUGAUAGCUAUUUACUGUCCUUUCUCAUCAUAAUCUUGGCCCCAAUAUAUAUACUGAAUUUUGAAUGCAAUGAGAGAAAUAUACCUUUGGGGCGUCAAUGCCAGAAGAGUGAGUGAGGGAUCUAAGAUGUUUGAGAGCAGGAAUUUUUAAGUAAUUUGUGUGAAAAAGUUGAAGAGCUUCGAACAGAGUGGAGUGGGUUGGCCUGGGCUAAAAUAAAGAGGAUGAACUCUAGAAAGUAGAAAAUGUUGUUAUUCAACCAAACUCAAAAGUAAAGAAACCAUACAAUUAACAUAUAAAUAAGUUUUAUAUACCAAUGUUUACAUGUACGUUGUUUGAGAAGGUAAAUUAGCAACAUAUACAGUGAUCAAAAGAUUAACAGCAAUAAACUGCUCAUUAUUCGAAAUAUACAUGAAAGUUGUCAUUCACAUGAUCCAAAUGGUAGAGGACAAAACAGAAGGAAGCAAAUAUUAUAGCAGCAUAAGUUGAAUAAUUGCAGCAAGUAAACAAAUAGAAAGGCUAGCUAGAUUACACAAUCCAGUUCUAGGUCGGACUAACCAUGUUAGCCAUCCGCCCACCACCAGCACCGUCGGCUUCUUAUUAAAAAUGUAGAAUAGAAGACUCAAAAACUGGAAAUGAAAGCAGGUAACAUUGAGUUUUAAUAACCAAAAAGGGACAUUGUUUAAGCAGCUCCAUAGCAGCAAUUAUACUUGGACGAUGAGCUGCAAAAACAGAAAAGAAAACACAAAUUAAACUAAAAAAAAUAUAAAAUUUAGCACUAAUCCAGGAUUAAAUAUAAAAUAUAAAGUCAUUAGGAUUGGGACCUUUGCAUUGAGGAAUAUCUACUACAUUAUGAGUUCCCUCCUGACAGUGGCGGAUCCAGGAUUUUAAACUCGGGGGGUCUCAAUAAUAAAGGUCAAAAAAUUUAUACACAAAAACAACAUUGAAAAUUUAAAUAUAAUACAUUUCAUUCAAAAAUCAUAUGCAAAACAAUAUUACAAAUUAUAAAAUCAUAAUUCAAGCGUCCAUUACAAGGUUUCAUAAGUUACUACCUAAGUUAUUGAUUAUCUAAUAUGGACCACUAAAUUUAAAACACCAGUCAAAUAAAACUCUUCCCAAACUCCCACUAUCUUUCUAACCAAACACACCAUUUUUCUCUUUUACUAGUUUCCAAACAUCCACUUUCUCUCUCACUAAGAACACAGCUGCCAUACCUCCACCAACCACCUCCCUCCCCAUUCUCCCGAAGCCAUGGCAGCUCCACCCCCAAAUUUCACCAACCCAUGACAGAUCAUAUCCAUCUUACUAACCUUAUGCAGGAAAUUUCACCCAUAACAAAAAUUACUAAGGUGGUUGAAAUAAUUUGGGGAAAUUUGGGCUUAUGUACUGCCCCGCCAGACGACAGAUGGAGGAGAAGUGGGUGGCACCGAUGGAUGAGACCAUGGCAGAAGCAAGGAGAGAGGCUGGAAGGGUCCCUAUUUUCUUUCUUCUCCGUGCGCGGUCAUCUUCUCCGAGAAGAAGACAGCCACUGCAACCUACAACCUGCACAGACCUCAUGCUCGAGUACGAGGGGUCCCCGGAAAAUUUCUAGCAGCGAUUUAGGAUCGCCGACGGGUCCUGGGACCUCCCAGGUCCCUAUGUAUGCAGGAAAACCUAAGGUUCCUCCUUAGGUUUUUCGAUGUACCAAACCCGAAUCCGCCGUCCUUUUUCCAAAAUUCUAACGUUUUCAUAGAGUUUUAUUAAACGACCUUUAAUUGUGUUUAGGUGCAUCGGUGGAAGUGACCUCAUUCUUGAUGGUUCGAGCGGCUUUCGGGCAAUGGAAAACUUGUGAGUGGACCCCUUCUAAACUUAUAUAUUGUUAUAAAAUAUUAGCCUAGCAUGCAUUCCAUAUUUCAUGAUUUGAAUAUGAUUUAUAAUAUGCUUUAUGGACUUUUAUAAUUAUGGUUUACGAAAUAGUUUGAUUUAUCGAAAUUACGUUUUAUUAGGUAUUGAAUUAUUGGAUUUACAUAUAUGGAUUUCUAUGGUUUUCAAAUACGAUUUAUAUUACGGUUUUACGAACAUGAAUUGUUUUAUGGAUUUCAUGAAUACAAUUUAUCUUGGAUUUAUGAGAUGAGACUUUGAGCUAGUGAGCUCCGGGUUUGAUAUGAGUUUUGAGAUAUGUUUUUGGUACUUAAUCUAGUGGGUUAUCAUACGGCACAUCCGCACACCACGGGUAUAGAUGUGUAUGGCCAUAGGACACAGAUGAUGAGGAGGAGUAAGAUAUGAUAUAUUGUAUACCCCCAGUUCACUGUCGAAAGCAGUGUCAGAUAACUUCACUAGCCAUGGCUAGUGUCGGUAUGGAUGUUAUGCUAUUUCAUACAGCUUCACCUUCGGGUGAUAGACAGUUAUUUAGCUUCACCUUCGGGGUGAUGGACAUGUACUACCUUCGGCCAACUAUAAUAGCCUUAGUUGAGUACUUCACUGACAAGAUUUACAAAUUUGCCUUUGGGCGACGACAUUUUCAUUAUCAAGCACUGGAUUUUACAUAUCUACCUUCUAAAUGGAUUUUCAUGGCAUGCUAGGGUUUUUCAUAAAGCCUAUAUGUAGUAUUAUAUAUGUUUUCAAAAUAAGGGGUUAUUAUGUUCAUAAAUAAAAUGUUUUCCUAUUAUUAGUAUUAUUAAUAUAAACUUUGGUCCACUCACCUUUUCAGUUUUUGCGCCUCCUCAGGAGUUAGGAUCGAGGCACAUGAUCCCGGCAUCAUGGCAUGUUGAUAUAGGUAUCCUUGAAUCUUCUUAGUGUAGGUAUCAUUCCCUUAUUCAUAUCUUUUUAUAGUGAUUCUUUCCUAUUAUUUCUAAUUAGUUGUAUGCUCUGAACAAAUUCCUGCUUUGGUAUAAUCGUUAUAACUACUUAUCUUGUAAUUGUUUGCAUGUUUAAAAUGGUUUCGUCACCUUUGGGCGUGGGCUAGCACGUGCCUACCCUGGUAUGUUGGGGUAUCGGGGUUGGGGCGUGUCAAAGAUAGAGAGUGAAUUUCUAGCAGAUUCAAUGGUUGUCUACAUUUUAAAAAGAGCUUGCCGAAAAGAUUGAUUCAGAUGAAAUAACAAAGGAUUUCAAUUCCAUUAAGGAUUGAAGGGCACAACUUGAAUAGGUAUUUUUCUUUUUAUUUGUUAGGUUGUUAUGACAAGAUUGACGAUGUAUGUUUCUUUAUAUUGUAAGUUGCAACUUUAAAGGUUUUCUUCGUUAAAUCUAGUUGAAACUUGAUUCAUUUAGAGUUAAAUUUCUUACUUCAAAUUGUUGCUUUUAGGCUUAUUAUUGUGUAACUUUAUGCAAGCAACAAAAAAUUUUAACCAUUUGAUUUUGUACUAAUAAUUUUAGCUUAGCAUGCCACCAAAUAAUUCAUGUCUCCGCUAUUGAAAUCUUAGCAUGUGCAAUUUCAAAGUCUCGGUUGCCAAGUCUCCCCAGGCUGUUCAGCACCCAUUCUGAAUCUUGAUCGAGAUCUAGAGCAGUGCAAGUCAAGGAGUCUUCAUUCUCAUUUGAAACAAUGCUAAAAUUAUACCUCAGCUUGGACUCCUUGGGCAAAAUAUACCCAAAUGUAUUAAUAAUUUAAUACUACUUGUGGAUGCACCACUAGUCCAAAAAAAUCACCUCUCCUUUCUUAAUCUUCAAUUGGUGAGGGUCCCAAUCAAGCGUGAAAGGCCCCGGCGCACGGUUGGCUUUAGUUUCCCAUGAUGAAAUCGACGAAACGUGGCCAUUUGUACGGUUGACACCCAAUUUCAUGCCCGGCAAAAAGGUGUCAACUGGUAAUCAAAGCUUUACGUUCACUUCUUCUUGUACAAAAUUUCCCGAAUCCAAAAGGAUAGCCACAACAGUAGCAAUACUGUUACUUAUGUUGGUAGACCUAGUAGUUUGUGGAGCUGAGAAAAACACAAUUGGAUUAGGAUCCCUCCCGCAUAAUUUUCAAGGUUUUAUUCCUGUCCAAGGCAAGAGUGCGUACAAAAUAGGGGCUUUACGGUUGCAAAUCCAAGCAAUGUUGCCAUCGGCCUUGUUGCUCUGGAUAGAUACGUAGCUGGUGCUUUUGGAACUGUCGUCGUGUACACAGGAACUGAAACUGAACUUCUCCGAUGCAGAGACCAAAGAACUUGAGGAGUUGAGAGUGUCUCCUGCUGGUUUCAGUGUGUCCUUGCACUUGCAGCAUUGUGACAGGUCCACAGUCAGCAUGCAAAAAUGAUUAAGUUGAUUAUUGCCAUGAUUAAUUAAUGACCAUAACAUGAAGUUUAAUUUCUCCAUAUGAUGAGGAAGAAAGACAUGAAAUCCAUCACCAGAACAUGAUUAAGAAUUUAAUCAAGCAACGCGUCUUAGUUAAACCAUUACAAUCAUUGUACAAGGCAUUUAUAAAUUAAAAAAAAGGGAAUAAAGUAAUAAUUGUUAGAAUAAGAAGAAAAUGUAGUACAACAAUGGAGGAUAUGCUGCAAUGACUAGAGUGAGAGAGAGAGAAAGAAGAGAGCAGAGAAUAUGACACUGCAAUUCUUUUCACACGCAUUGUUUGAUUGCUCACUUAGUGAGAGAGGAACAUCUCUCUACACUUAACAGUUACACUUCCAAACUUUUGGCAGUAUUCAAAAUUACAUCCAAGUAAUCCUAGCCAUCCAUCUUACACCCUAUGAGAUGAAGACACAUGUACACUCACUUACUUAAGAACUAUGAGACUUAGAUAAGAAAGCAUACAACCAAUUUAGCUAAUCAUCCUAGCAAUAUAAGCUAGAAAUACAACUACCACAUCAGAUCACAAUUUACACACUAACAGCCCCCUUUAAAUUGUGAACUGAUUUAACUCCAAGAAGUUCCCUCAGAUAACUGAAUUGUUCUCUUGCCAAUGCCUUUGUAAAGAUAUCAGCAAUUUGGUCUUUCGUAGGACAAUGCAACAGCUCAAUUACUCCUUGCUGCAAUGCUUCCUUUAUGAAAUGGUAUCUCCUGUUGAUGUGCUUGGUCUUCUGAUGAAAAAUAGGAUUUUUAAUGAUAGCUAUGGCUGAAGUAUUAUCACAAUUCAUUGGUGUUGCAACUAUUUGCAUUUCACCAAAGUCCUCCAAAACAAAUCUCAGCCAUGUAGCCUGUGCAGUUGCUUCAGAUGCACUAAUGUACUCUACUUCAGCUGUUGAUAAUGCAACACAUUGUUGCUUGACUGAAGACCAAGAGAAAACUCCACUGCCAAAGGUAAAUGCAUACCCCGAUGUACUUUUCAUAUCAUCUUCUGAACCGCUCCAGUCACUGUCACAAAAUCCCAUUAAGAUUGCUCCUUUGCCUUUCUUGUAUUCCAAGCCAAAAUCAAGAGUCCCUUGAACAUAUCUUAGUACUCUCUUUGCUGUCCCAAGGUGCUUGUUGGUUGGACAGUGCAUAAACCGUGAUAGCAGACAUGCAACAUACAUUAUAUCAGGUCUAGUUGCUGUGAGAUACAGCAAACUGCCUACAAUUUGUCUAUAUUGAGCUUCAUCCGUAGUCCCACUUCCAUCCUCUUUUCUCAAUUUAUCACUUGGAACCAAUGGAGUACUCACUGACUUACAGUCUUGAAGUCCAAAUUUCUUCAGUAGAGAAGAAGCAUAUUUUCUCUGAUGAAUGAAAAUAUACUCCUCAGUUUGCAUUACUCCCAUACCAAGAAAGUGAUGUAAGAGUCCAAGAUCAGUCAUUUCAUAUUUGAGCAUCAUAUUAGAUUUAAAGUCAUCCAUCAAUUCCUGACAACUUCCAGUGUAUAUUAUGUCAUCAACAUAGAUAGACACUAUAAUCAUUUCUGAACUUUUCCUCCACUUGGUAUACAGAGUUGCUUCGCUAGUGCUUUUCUUAAACCCACAGAGUGUAAGAUAUGAGUCUAUUUCACCAUACCAGGCCCUUGGUGCCUGCUUCAGACCAUACAGUGCUUUAUGUAACCUGUAGACCUUAUCUUCUUCCCCUUGUACAAUAAAUCCAUCCGGCUGAUCAACAUACACUUCUUCUUCUAGUACACCAUUCAAGAAUGCCGAUUUUACAUCCAAUUGAAACAACUUCCAUUUGUUCUUUGCUGCCAGGGCAAUUAAUGUUCUGAUUGUAUCCAACCUUGCCACAGGUGCAAAGGUUUCAUUAUAAUCAAUUCCGGGCUUUUGUGCAUAGCCUUUUGCAACAAGCCUAGCCUUGUUCUUUUGAACUGAUCCAUCCAAAUUCAAUUUAGUUUUGUACACCCAUUUCACACCAAUCACAGGUUUAUCAGAUGGUCUUUUCACUAAUUCCCAAGUCUUAUUUUUCUCAAUCAUGCUGAUUUCAUCUUUCAUAGCUUUCUUCCAUGCUUUAUCCUGUGCAGCUUCAUAAUAGGAUUCUGGUUCAACAAUACACAUGACAUCUUUCAUAGAUUUCACUCAAACUUCUAUAUCUCAAAGGAGUAUGAUCAAUCUGAGAUGCAAAAAUUGAGUCACUAGCACUUCCAGAUUCAAUGAGUGGAGAAUCUGUAAGUUGAGUCUGAGAACCUUCAGCAACAGCUUGUUCCAUGGAAUCCGAAUCCUCAUCAGCUUCUUUCAUCUCUGAAGAUUCACUUGCAGCAAUUGGAAUGUACACUUCUUUGAUCUUCUAUCUAUCCCAAUCCUAUGUACCAUUCUCAUAAAAAAUAACAUCUCUUGAAAUGAUUACUUUCUGAUUUUCAGGAUUAAGCAAUCUGUACCCCUUUUCACAAGUGCCAUAUCCAAUAAAAAUACCAAUGACACUUGUUUCAUCCAGCUUCUGUCUCAGGUUUCCAGGAAUAAGGGAAUAACCUAAUGAGCCAAACACUCUCAAGUGUUGAAUUCCAGGUUUUCUUCCACUGAAUUUCUCAAAAGGUGUCACAUUUUCCAAUACUUUUGUAGGACAUCUAUUUAGCAAGUAGACAGAUGUAACUACAGCUUCACCCCAAAGACUAUAAGGAAGACCUUUCUCAUGAAGCAUACACUUUGCCAUCUCCACUAUAGUUCUAUUUUUUCUCUCUGCAACUCCAUUCUGUUGUGGAGAGUAUGCAACAGUAAGCUGCCACUCCAAACCCAAAGCUUCACAAAACUGUUCAAAUUCAUUUGAGGUAAAUUCUUCUCCUCUAUCUGUUCUCAAUUUCUUCACUGAAAAACCACUUUGAAGUUCCACCAUAGCUUUGAAUUUCUUGAAUACAUGAAAGACAUCUGACUUGUGUCUCAAGAGAUAUAUCCAGCACAUCCUCGAAUAGUCAUCAAUGAAUGUAACAAAGUAUCGAUUUCCACUUAUGGUUGGUGUUUGCAUAGGGCCACACACAUCUGAGUGUAUAAGUUCCAAUGGCAUUCUUGCUCUCCAGAUUGACUCCCUUGGAAAGGACACUCUAUGAUUCUUACCAAAUGCACAUCCCUGACAUACACCUUCACUGUCAUGCAUUUCAGGUAACCCAAGAACCAUAUCAUGCUCCUGCAAUUGUUGCAAACUUCUAAAAUUCAGGUGGCCAAACCGUUUAUGCCACAUUGUACUAUUCUGAUGCACAUUGGUUUUCAGUACCAAAUGAUCGUUUGACUUGAACACAAGUGGAAAGCAUCUGUUCCCCUUUUGUUUCACACUAACCACUAAAUUUGUCAGAGUUCUAUCAUAAAAAAUAUCCACCUUAUAAUCACCAAAUAACAGAAAAUACCCAUGUUCAGUCAUCUGCCCAACACUGAGAAGGUUUUCUGCAAUUCCAGGUACUAACAUAACUUCUCUUAUGUACCUUUUUCCUUUAUCCGUGUCAAUGACCAAGGUUCCUUUGCCUUUCACAUCAACAAGAACCCCUGUGCCAACUUGCACUUUUGCUUUAAUACUUCUAUCAAUUUCCACAAGUAACUCCUCUCUGGAAGUCAUGUGAUUACUGCACGCACUGUCAAUAUACCAGGCAUCACUCACAGCUUUCACUUCAGUUGAUUGCUUGACCAUGAAGAGAUUUCCAGGUUCCAGGUUCUCCCACCUUGUUUCUAAAAUUUCUUUGCUCUCCCACUUUGUCUGCAAAAUUCCCUUGCUGAGCAUUUUUGUUUUGAUUGCAGAUCCUAGCAAUAUGACCAGGUUUUCCACACUUGUGACAUUUAAUCUUCCCUUUUAGCCAACAUUCACCAUAGUGAAGUUUAUCACAGUAUUUGCAUGCCCCUCCAGUGUUGUUAGCUUCAUUUCUUACACUUGGAGUAAACCUGUUAGUCCACUGCUUCCCUUUGAACUUGAAGUUCUUCUGAUAUUUUGAUCCACCAGUAUUGGUAUGUUGAUUACCAAAUUUACUAUUCUUAGAUGAGAUAUAUAUCUAAGCUAGCAAAUGCACGUUCUGUGCUACUCUCUUCAUGUCUGAUUAAUCUUAGUUCAAACCCUUUCAAUAUGGCAACCACAUCUUGUGCAUCAAUUACAUCAAUAUCUUUAGUAUUUUCUAUAACAGAAGCAAUGCUAUCAUAUGUUUUGGGUAAACUGAUCAAUAACUUUUGCACAAUUCUCUGAUUACUAAGAUCUUCUCCAUAGCUUCGCAUCUGAUUUAUCAGAUCAAACAACCUAGCUAAAUAUGCAGCUAGAGAUUCACUUUCACUCAUACGGGUAUAUUCAAAAUCACGACGCAGACCUUGUAAUUUCACAGAUCGUACCUGUUUGUCCCUACACAUACUCUUGCUUCAGAAUAUCCCAAGCUUCUUUUGCAGUUUCCAAGGUUGCAAUGCGUGGAAAAAUUUGAUCCGAUACGGCUCCCUGAAUGAUUCCAAGAGCCCUUGCAUCCUUGACCAGAUUUUCACUCCGCAACUUCGUUUCCACCUCAGUGAGUUCUCCUUCCCCUUUCGCUGAAGUGGUAAAACCUUUUUCAACAAUAUUCCAUAACUCGUGAGAUCGGAAGAUUGUUUUCAUUCGAAUCUACCAGAAAUCGAAAUUUUCUCCGUUGAACACCGGAGCUCGAAGCUCCCCUCCACCAGAUCCAGCCAUGUUAGACUUAGAUCACACCUCUCUCUACUAUUUUCUUUGCAACGAUGUGUUGCAAACACUUGCUCACUAUCUCUCACAGAAUCGACGCCCAGAGAUUCAGACCCAACAAGGCUCUGAGGCCAUGUUAGAAUAAGAAGAAAAUGUAGUACAACAAUGGAGGAUAUGCUGCAAUGACUAGAGUGAGAGAGAGAGAAAGAAGAGAGCAGAGAAUAUGACACUGCAAUUCUUUUCACACGCACUGUUUGAUUGCUCACUUAGUGAAAGAGGAACAUCUCUCUACACUUAACAGUUACACUUCCAAACUUUUGGCAGUAUUCAAAAUUACAUCCAAGUAAUCCUAGCCAUCCAUCUUACACCCUAUGAGAUGAAGACACAUGUACACUCACUUACUUAAGAACUAAGAGACUUAGAUAAGAAAGCAUACAACCAAUUUAGCUAAUCAUCCUAGCAAUAUAAGCUAGAAAUACAACUACCACAUCAGAUCACAAUUUACACACUAACAAUAAUUACAAGUUUUACACAAGUGACCAUUUAUUACAAUGGUGGAAAGGUGUUAAAAGCUUUUGCAUGACGGUGUGAGUUCGAACCUCGUCGGUUGUUAAUCUACAAACCCCGUCGGUAGUUAAUCUAACUUCUAAUCUAAUAAAAUCUAUUUUUUGACCAAAAAAAAAUAAUUACAAGUUUUACUAAAAAUUUAGGGGUGUGAUAUCUACACACCCCUUUUUACUUCUCUCACAUCUUUUUGAUUUUCGACCGUCGGAUCGGAUGAAUUGAAGAAGAUCAACGGACAGAAAUUAAUAAGGAUGUGUGAGAAGUAAAAAAAGGUGUGUAGAUAGCACACCUCAAAAUUUACCGGAAGACUUGAUCACCCAUUUGUAUGCUGACAACGGUGACUAGAUUCACAACCUCUUUCCCACGUAAAUCACAUCAUCCAAUUUUAUUUUUCUUACAACAUAUCACGUAUCUGUCAUAUGUAAGACUUUUUUGGAAUAUGGAGCGUGAAAUUGCAGCGGAAGCAUCCUAGAUUUUUGAUCGAAUAUUGAGUUUGGUUUCAUGACAGACUUCCUGGAUCAAACACACCCUAAAAAAAUAUAUAAAAAACCAAUAAGGUCAUGGUGAUACGACAUCAUUUUAAGAGGAAAGGUAAAAACAAUCUAGUUUCUAUACUAGGAAGAUUCACUCGAACAAAUUCUUGGAAACUAUGACUCAAACAAAAUUCUAGGAAUUCAGUAUUUUUAACAAAUGAUAAACGUUUAAGAUAUAUUCUUUAUAAUAUUAGAGAAAUCGAACGGUUGAUCUAUAACUCGCAAAGUGGUUGUAGCUCAAGUAAUUUUACUCCCCAAUUUUACAUAAAACAUAAAAUAAAAACAAAUCCUAAUUUACAUGGUAAUUUUUUUUCAUAGCUAGGGACAACUUCGACUAUGGUAAUGCAAUUAAUAUACACUAGUUUUGGAUGGAGAAGUUUCAAGAUUGAGCAUGGGAUGGGGAGGGGCGAGAGACUUGGAUGGAGAGUGAGGUUUUAUGAGUUAAACAGUGAUGCAAGGAUGUAUUACUUAAAACUUUAGAGACCGUAUGUUGGGCUAUAUAUAAUUGUUUAACUCAUAAACGUUUUGAGUGUUUCUAACAUAUGCUUAUCAAAAGCCUUCUCGUUCUAUCAAACAAUACGAAAAUUUUCAAUUGAAUGCAAGACAUACUAUUUUAUAUAUCACAGUACUUCAUGGAUCAUCAUCAUCACAUAUCCUUAAUUCAAAGGUAAUAAAUGAGCAUCUAGUUUUAUUUUUAUUUUAUUUUAUAUAGGGACUACAGAAGCAAGCACCCUUUGUAAAUUAAACUCUAAAACUUCUCAAGUAUCUUGAAAGGUGCCAAAAGCCAUCAGCCAACUCCAGUUGAUGCAUAACCUCCUACAUUUACAAAAACAGCGUCGCCGUUAAUUUAUUGACUUCUUCCCAGGACACAUACCAAUUUGCGAAAGUGGUUUGACUGAUGCUAAUUAGUCGAGUAAAGUACAGUCUUUUCAAUUAAGCAGAUGCAAAACACUUAGUUGAGGCACUACAAAUAUGAUUUUUACCUUUAAUUAACGCGCUUCAAAAUCUGAACUGGACAUGUAGUUUGCUGAAGCAACAGUUUCAAGUUGCUGAUUCCCACUUAUACCAGCCUCCACCGUCCUCCUUCCAACAAAAAAUGCUGGCUUUGUUGGUGAUGCUAAUCGAAAGCUUUCAUUUGUCAACAUAGAUAUGACAUCUGACAUGGUAGGGCGAUCUGCUGCAUUUUCUUCUACGCAAAGCAGACCGACAUGGAUGCAUCUUAACAGUUGCUCUUUAAUAAACGAAUUUCCUAAUGUUGGAUCCGUUAAUUCUAGCCCUGCACCUUUUUUCCAUAACUCCCAUGCCUGAAGAACAAGGAUUGCAUUUCAUUCUAAAGAAGAAAAAAUAUGAUUAUAAAUUUUAAGAGAGAGAUUUGUUUGUCAUACAUAUCCUACUAAAUUGAGUGCGCGAUCGUCAUUGUAAAAGCUGUUGUUUUUCCUUCCACUUAUGAUUUCAAGCAUCAAUACCCCGAAACUGUAGACAUCAGACUUUACAGAAAUAAUUCCCCCCACGGACUCUGGAGGCAUGUAACCACUGCACGAAAUGAAAAAGAAAAUUAGUCAGUAUACUUAUCUGGAAAAAUGCGUGUUUAGCAGUCAAAAGGGGAGGACCACGUCAAUGUGAUGCAGAAAUACUUACAGUGUCCCCACAACCUUUCUAGUGUUUGCUUCCAAUUCAUUUUGGGUGAAAAUCCUUGCCAUACCAAAAUCUGAAAUUUUUGGGUUCAUGUUUUCAUCAAGUAGUAUGUUACUAGCUUUUACAUCUCUAUGAAUUACUUUCUUUCUUGAGUAUUUGUGCAGAUAAAGCAACCCUUGAGCAAUUCCUUCGAGAAUGCUAAAACGCUUCUUCCAAUCUAGUAGUAGACCUCUGAUUGGAUCUGUCCAAUAUGUAGAGUUAAGUAGGACUAAUAUUAAUUAAUAGUAGUACUCUAUGAACUUUGACAGUAAAAUAAAAAUCAGAUAGUAAAUUUAACAAAUGAAAUCAAGUAUCUUGGUUCCUCACCAAAUAAAAAGUGGUCCAAACUUUUGUUCUGCAGAUACUCAUAUAUCAACAUCAUUUCUUCACCAUGAAUGCAAAAUCCGAAAAGGUGAACCAGGUUUGUAUGUUGGAGUUCAUAUAUAAGUAUCAGUUCAUUCUUGAAUUCUGAUGUUCCUUGCCCUGAACAUUUCGAAAGCCUCUUCACAGCUAUUUCUUGUCCCGCCGCCAAUUUCCCCUGAAUUGAUAAUCCAUAUCAUGUUUUUGCUGUCAUCUUUAGGCAAAUGAAGCUAAUUCCUUUUUUUUUUCUUACAGCUUUUGAAUUAGAACUUGGGAGCAGCCUCUCCAUAAAUGGGGGUAAGGCUAGCCGACAUUCACCUCUCCCAGACCCUGCGUAAAGCGGGAGCCUUGUGCACUGGGUACGACAGCUUUUGAAUUAGAAGCAGAAAUUUUUUUUUUUCAAAAUGUUACCUUAAACCGGUCCAAACCCUCCUUGUCCUAGCUUGUUUUCUUCAGCAAAGUUGCUUGUGGCAGCCACGAUGGAUGAAUAGCUAAAAACGCUAAAAUCAUGAUGUCGCUUAGAUUUCAUGAAGAUAAUCAUUUCGUUCUCAAUCGUUGUCCGGUUCUCACCUAUACAGAUCAAUUAUAAGAAAUUAAAGUUUCAAUGGAGACAACAAUUGUCAAAGAUGUGAUUAAUAAUCCUGUCUUAUGUUGGAUUAUGUGGCCAAGUGGCCAUAUACUUUAGAUUAAACAAACCAAAGGUGGACAACACCUUUCCUUGUUUUGGGGAGGAAAAUAGGGAAAAGGUUUUUUGUCUUGGUCCAUGGGAAGUCACGGUUGAGGUUUUGAAUAAUAAGUUUUGGUUGUAAUGAGAAGUAAGAGUGGGAUAGAAGAGAAGAAAAUAGAGUGCAGAAAAUUGAGAGAGCCGAAGAGAAGAGAGGGAGAGAAAGAAGGUACUGCUACAGUACCAUUUUCAGAGAAGGGGUUGUUGUUCCUUUCAUUGGAUAAUUCUCACUCCAUCAAAGUGUUAUUGUUGUAAUAGCUUUGAGCUUUGUAUAGAGAAGAAAUUAAUCACUAUAUUUCUUUCUCUAUUUGUUUCUUUGGAGUGUGAGUUAUUGGGUUAUUUGGGUUGUGAGAUUGCCAACACUUUGUAAACUCCCAUUUGGUUGAUAGUGGAUUCUUGGGUGAGCUCCUACUGCUCCGAGGACGUACUCUAGUUACACUGACUGUUGAGGAACCUCGUUAAAAUCUUGGUGUCUUUAAUAUUUUGUUCUUGCAUUUUAUUUGAUAUAUUUCCUGUGGGUUAGCUUGAGUUGGUUCCACAAGGGUUUGGUGCUAUCCUAGCACAACAAUUGGUAUCAGAGCACUGGUUGCUCUUGGGUACUGUCUAGUUGCCAAAAAUGUCAGACGGGCAAGAUGAAAAUCCUUUUGGAAGCAGCUCCGGGUUUGCAAGAACGACGGUGCAAAAUGCAAAGUUCGAAGUGGAAAAGUUUGAUGGCACACAAACAACUUCGGGAUGUGGCAAUGUGAGGUCAAAGAUGUGUUGGCUCAACAAGAUCUACUUGCCGCGUUGGGAGAGAAGCCGGAAACUAUGUCGAAGCCGGAAUGGGAAAAAUUAAAUUUGUGGGCUUGCUCUUCAAUUCGGUUGUGCCUUGCAAAAACUCAGAAGUAUUUUGUGAUGCGGGAGACGGUAGCAAGUGUGUGUUGUGGCAAAAAUUGGAAGACAAGUAUAUGACAAAGAGUGCAGAGAACCGACUACACUUGAAGAAAAAAGCUCUACCGCUUCCAAUACAAAGAAGGUACAAAAAUGAUUAGACACCUUGAUGCUUUUAAUAAGUUGAUUGCCGACUUGUUAAAUUUAGAUGAGGAUAUUAAGGAUGAAGAUAAGGCCUUAAUAUUGUUGAAUUCCUUGCCGGACUCUUAUGAGCAUUUUGUUACAACUAUUAUGCAUGGUAAAGAAACUGUGAAAUUUGAAGAUGUGUCAAAUGCCUUGAUGAAUUAUGAAAUGAGGCAUAGAGAUAAAAAUCAUGAUAGUACCUCUGAAGCUUUAUUUGUUAGAGGUAGAUCAUCGGAGAGGAGGUCAUCUUCUAGCAGGAAAAAAUCACAGUCUCGACCUAGAGGAAACUCUAAAGGUAGAAAACCUUUGGAAAGGGAUGAAUGUGCCUUUUGUCGUAAUAAGGGCCAUUGGAAGAAAGAUUGUCCCAAAUUGAAGACCAAAGGAAAAGAAAGUUCUGAAGCUAAUGUUGCUGAGGUUGAAACAGAUUUUUCUGAUUUUGCUUUAACCACUUCCUCAUCAUUUGAUUGUGCUACUAAGUGGGUGUUGGAUACGGGUUGUACUCAUCAUAUGACUCCUCACAAGGAUUGGUUUUCAAGCUUGAAAGAGUUUUGAUGGUGGCGUUGUGUUCAUGGGAGAUGACAAUCCUUGCACAACAAAAGGGAUUGGUACAGUUCGUUUGAAGUUGCAUGAUGGCAUGGUUAAAGAGUUGACAGGUGUUCGGUAUGUACCGAAUUUGAAGAAAAAUCUUAUUUCUUUGGGUACUUUGGAAUCUAAGGGUUUCAGGUUUCAUUCAGAUGGACAGACAUUGAAAGUUACUUAUGGUGCACUUGUUGUGAUGAAAGCUCCUAGAUGUGGCCAUUUGUAUUUAUUGCAGGGAAGCACUGUGACAGGUGAAGCAUCUGUAGUCUCUGAAAAUAUGGGCACAUCUGAUUCAGAUACUACUAGAUUGUGGCAUAUGAGAUUAGGCCAUGCCGGUGAGAAAGCUCUACAAGGGCUUGUGAAAAAAUGUCUUCUAAAAGGUGCCACGACUUGUAAGCUUGAUUUCUGCGAGCAUUGUGUCUUGGGAAAGCAAACUAGAGUGAAGUUUGGUACUGCUGUACAUCAGACGAAGGGCAUUCUUGAUUAUGUGCAUUCGGAUGUUUGGGGUCCUACAAAGACUCCCCUCUUUGAGUGGUAGACAUUGGUUCGUGACCUUUGUUGAUGAUUAUUCAAGAAGGUCUUGGGUCUACACUAUGAAGCAUAAGAGUGAGGUGUUAAGCAUUUUCUUGGGUUGGAAGAAAAUGGUUGAGAACCAGACUGGGAGAAAGAUUAAGAUUUUGAGAUCGGAUAAUGGUGGUGAAUACACAUCCGAUCCUUUCUUUAAAGUUUGCAAAGAGGAAGGAAUUGUGAGACAUUUCAGUGUUCGGGGAACUCCACAACAAAAAUGGAGUUGCAGAAAGAUUGAAUCGAACCUUGCUUGAGAAAGGUUAGAUGUAUGUUGUCUCAGUCGGGUUUAAGCAAGUCAUUUUGGGCAGAAGCAGUUAAUUAUGCAUGUCACAUCAUCAACCGGUUACCCUCAGCUGCUAUUCAGGGUAAGACACCAAUGGAGGUAUGGACUGGAAAACCUUCUUCUGAUUAUGAUCAUAUUCGUAUUUUUGGUUCACCUGCUUAUUUUCAUGUAACUGAAAAUAAACUUGAUCCUAGAGCCAAAAAGGCUAUCUUUCUUGGUUUUAGUAGUGGUGUCAAAGGUUACAGGUUGUGGUGUCCAGAGAUGAAGAAACUGGUAAUUAGUAGAGAUGUGACAUUUGACGAAGAAAGUAUGUACAAAGUCUCUGAGAAGAAUGUGAAAGAUGUCCAACAGGUGGAGCUUGAGAAAGUUGCUUCUGGUACUUCAAAUCCUAUUUCCGCUGAUGUCGAAGCCACUACAAGUGAAGAAGUUGGAGACCAUGAGGAUGUUGAAGAAGUUGAACUUGAAGAUUCUAUUCAAGUUGAAGAGCAAGUUUCACCUCAAGAGUCUAUUGCCAAGAACAGAGGAAAGAGACAAAUUACUAAGCCAGCUCGGUAUAGUGAUUAUGUUGCUUUUUGCUCUUCCUAUUAUCACUGAAGAGAUUCCAUCCAAUUUUGAGGAAGCUAUUGAGAGUGAGGAGAAGAAUAGGUGGUGCAAUGCCAUGGGUGAUGAGAUGAAUUCUCUCUUGAAGAACAAGACUUGGGAGUUAGCUAAAUUGCCUAAGGGCAAGAAAGCUAUUGGUUGCAAAUGGGUGUAUGCCAAGAAGGAAGAUGCUGAUGAGAAAAGCAAUGUGAGAUUUAAAGCAAGAUUAGUUGCUAAAGGGUAUGCACAAAAGGAGGGCAUUGACUACAAUGAAAUCUUUUCUCCGGUUGUGAAGCACUCCUCAAUUCGCAUUAUGUUAGCUCUUGUUGCACAGUAUGAUCUUGAGCUUGUGCAACUUGAUGUAAAAACGGCUUUCCUACAUGGUGAUUUGAAUGAAGAGAUUUAUAUGUGUCAACCAGAUGGGUAUAUAGUGAAAGGGAAGGAGAAUUUGUUUUGCAAAUUGAAGAAAUCACUUUAUGGUUUGAAGCAAUCUCCAAGGCAAUGGUAUUUGAGGUUUGAUAAAUUUAUGAGAGGCCAAAAUUAUUCUAGAAGUCAAUAUGAUCAUUGUGUGUACUUCAAGAAGUUGCAAGAUGGGUCUUUCAUUUAUUUAUUGAUAUAUGUUGAUGAUAUGUUGAUUGCCUCAAAGAAUGUCGAAGAGAUUGAGAAAUUGAAGAAGCAAAUGAAGAAUGAGUUUGAGAUGAAGGAUCUUGGUGAAGCGAAGAAGAUCCUUGGCAUGGAGAUCACUAGAGAUAGAGCAAAGGGUUUCGUCAGUUUGAAUCAAAAACAAUACCUUGAGAAGUUGAUUCGGAAGUUUGGAGUUCAUGAUUCAACCAAACCGGUUAGUACCCCUUUGGCUCCUCAUUUUAAAUUGAGUUCUCUACAAUGUCCUAAAAUCGAUAAAGAGAAACUGCAAAUGAAAAAUAUACCAUAUGCAAAUUUGGUUGGUAGUUUGAUGUAUGCAAUGGUAUGCUCUAGACCGGAUAUUGCUCAUGCAGUUGGCAUGGUGAGUCGAUAUAUGCAUAAUCCAAGUAAAGAGCAUUGGCAAGCAGCUAAGUGGAUAUUGAGGUAUCUCCAUGGUACUCGAGAUGUUGGUUUAUGCUUUGAGAGGGAUGACUCUGGUAUUGGUCAUUUUGCAGUUGGUUAUGUUGAUUCAGAUUAUGCAGGUGAUCUGGAUGGAAGGAAGUCUACUACAGGCUAUGUGUUUACUAUGGCUAAAGGGCCAGUUUGUUGGAGGUCCAUUUUGCAGUCGUCUGUUGCCUUGUCUACUACAGAGGCUGAAUAUAUGGCAGUUGCUGAAGCUAUAAAGGAGGCCAUUUGGAUACAUGGGCUUAUUAGAGAUUUGGGGGUUGAUCAGAAGCAGGUGGAGGUACAUUGUGAUAGUCAGAGUGCCAUUUAUUUGGCUAAGUAUCAGGUUCAUCAUGCGAGGACCAAGCACAUAGAUGUGCGUUAUCACUUUGUUCGUGAAAUUGUUGGUGAAGGGGAAAUCAUUCUCCAGAAGAUUCCAACUAAAGACAACCCCGCUGAUAUGUUGACUAAGGUUGUUGGUGUAGCCAAGUUUGUUCACUGUUUGAACUUGGCUCACAUUUUGCCUAUAUAAAGAAGGCGUUGAGUAGUAGGAGUUUUGGAGCAUUUGGCUCAGCAUGAGUUGUUCUCUUGCUAGUGUUUGGGAGUGAUGUUGUGUGCUAAUUGUGUUGGUUGGCUUAUCAUGGCGUUUUCGGAACUUGGCCAAGGUGGAGAUUGUUGGAUUAUGUGGCCAAGUGGCCAUAUACUUUAGAUUAAACAAACCAAAGGUGGACAACACCUUUCCUUGUUUUGGGGAGGAAAAUAGGGAAAAGGUUUUUUGUCUUGGUCCAUGGGAAGUCACGGUUGAGGUUUUGAAUAAUAAGUUUUGGUUGUAAUGAGAAGUAAGAGUGGGAUAGAAGAGAAGAAAAUAGAGUGCAGAAAAUUGAGAGAGCCGAAGAGAAGAGAGGGAGAGAAAGAAGGUACUGCUACAGUACCAUUUUCAGAGAAGGGGUUGUUGUUCCUUUCAUUGGAUAAUUCUCACUCCAUCAAAGUGUUAUUGUUGUAAUAGCUUUGAGCUUUGUAUAGAGAAGAAAUUAAUCACUAUAUUUCUUUCUCUAUUUGUUUCUUUGGAGUGUGAGUUAUUGGGUUAUUUGGGUUGUGAGAUUGCCAACACUUUGUAACUCCCAUUUGGUUGAUAGUGGAUUCUUGGGUGAGCUCCUACUGCUCCGAGGACGUACUCCAGUUACACUGACUGUUGAGGAACCUCGUUAAAAUCUUGGUGUCUUUAAUAUUUUGUUCUUGCAUUUUAUUUGAUAUAUUUCCUGUGGGUUAGCUUGAGUUGGUUCCACAAGGGUUUGGUGCUAUCCUAGCACAACAUCUUACUGGUGCACAUGAUUUAAAGAAAUAUACCAGCUGAUGCAAGGGCUGAUCUUCUUCGUUGGAGUAGAUAGUACGCGGUGCAAAGCACUAGAGCAGCAGCUAUAGAAAUGCCAAUCCAAACCCAUUUAUCUGCUGCAUCAUAAACAAUUAGCUAGCAACAUAUGCAAUCAGCGUAACACACACGCACAUGUACGCAUUAAUUGUCUUCAAUUUUUGGAUGAACUAGGUCUUGCAGGUUUCUUCCAGAAAACGAAGAAAAAUCCGAGACAGAGAGCAGAACUUAAGACAACAAUAACAAAGAUAGAGGUACCUAAUAAUACUGAUUCCACGCGUGUCACAGAUUUCCGGCUUAAAUCGGGUUUGCAGCCUCGGUAUAUAUCCUUCGGAUCAAGAAAAGAAAACCCUUUUGGGCAUUCGCAGGUUGGCCUUUUAUCUGGUUUGAGCUUACAGGUACUGUUGUAACCGCAAACACCAACGCCCAGUCGUAGGCAAAUAUCAUCCGGCAUAUACACCAGAGGACUAAUCCAGCUUGCAUUUCCAGUGAAGUAUUUCGGGUGAGAAUAUAAAGCGAAAAUCCCAUCAAAAUCAAGAGUUGCCCUUAUGUAGUUGUCCCUCACCGACACUCCCUCUGUCCCCUUAAGAGGGACUCUUCCAUCAUUUUCUCUCAGAACAGACAUGUCCCCUGAGCUGCUGAACACCAAUUCUUUGCCUUGACUACCUGGCACGUUCCCUGCGGUGGUCUUCGUGGAGAAGUAAGCUUUCUUGGCCUUAUCUGUUGUCAAGUUGACGGAAAUGAGCACGAGGUUUCCAUCAUCUUGCAAGCGCAGCUGGAACCGCCCUUUUGUGUAGUUAGUCUCCGAUUGUCUACACGAAAGCUUCCCAUUUCUCUCAAUUGUCUGUCCAGGCAAAACGGUGUCUGUAGGAUUGCUGAAGGUCUCCCACAAGCUCCCCGAGUUUUGGUGUUGAAGGACAAAGUUUCCGGUGUCAUUCAUGACCCCGUUCGCAACAGUCCCCAAGGUUAUUUCGGAUUUCCAUAUCUCUCCACCCUGAGGAUUGUUAAGAACUAGUCCACUGUUGGCAGUCAAGUUCAGAACUGAUCCCCUAGGUGCAACCAUGGGGUUGUUACCGUCGUAUGCAUACCAAACCACGGUUUUGUCUGGGAUAUUCGCAUACCAUAUCGAAAGCAAGAAAAGAUCAUUGUUUCCGAGGGGCGAAAAUCCAAACUCGAAAUCACCGGAUGGAGAAAGCCAUGAUGAGGAGUCGCCUAUAGUUGCAGUUAGAGAACUCCCAACUGCUACUCUUCCAUUAUUUUGGGAAAUCACAGAAAUUGGUAGCAAAAACAAAGAGAACAAAAGCAUCUCUACAGAAAGAGCCACUGCCAUUGCAAAAGCACCAAUUUUUCAACUUGGCUUAACUGAUUAGCUAUAUUUCUUAGUAAAGCAUUGGUCCUUGUUUAUAUCUUCAAGUAAAUGUGUGUGCAUGUGCCUGUCAUUUUCUAAGUUUUUGCCUGGAAUCAUUUUUUGAAGUCAAUGUUACCCAUCAGCCACGAUAUGACCUCAGACCUCGCUACAUCACACACAAUAAUAUCUCCGGGCCUACAGAAUAAUUUCUCCAAACCUACACAUAUCACAAGAAUUUCACUUUGAAAAAAAUAAUAUAAUGAACAGUUUUAUAUAUAAGACACCGAUACCGAUACUUUUUGUGAUAGAACUUAUUGUCUCUCUCAAUUCCUUGUAAUGUUGCAAGUUGGAGCAAUAUUGAUGUAAUUAGUAAUGGCCCGCUAACUUGCCUCUCUCAAAUCUCUUUUCAUCCUACUCUCGUCCCUCGUCCGUUUUAUGAUUCUACUUAAUUAAGCACUUAUAAGUGUUCCAAAUCAAACUUGUAACUUAAAUAAUUAAAAAUAUUUAUCACUACACUGGGGAUUCUAGGUUCCAAAAUAUAAUAUAUAAUAUAUAUGAAUGUUCCAAACCAAAAGGACAAGUAAAUACGAGCAUGACUCACGCUGCAUGUGUCGGCCAUUCAAGUCCACAAGUCAAAAUUCAACAAUGGGGCCCACAAAGAAAAUUUGAAAAAGUACAUGCAGAUUGAGGACGUAUACAAAGAAUCUGAAAACAAACCUCCAGGACCAAACAAAGACGACUAAGUCUCCAUUUCUGUAUUCACACAAACCAAAGUACUAACUGAAGUUUUUAAUGUAUGAUUACGUCAUUGGGGUAAAACACCCGAGGCCGAGUUGAGAUAAUCACAGGGUUGGGGAAUCGAGAUCCUCUCCGAAUGUCACAGUCUGGCACAAACGAACGUAGAGAUCCGAACCACUUAUUUUAAAUUCUACGGUCUUCAUUAGCCUAUCCUAUUGGCCCACAUCACACAAGGGGCCCAAAUCUUUCUCUCCCCUCUCUUGAACGGUUUGGAUAUCUCGGUCUGUCGAUUUUGGAUUGGGAGAUUCAAAGAGAAUUUGAUUUCGGGUUUGAGGUGUGGUUCGCCGACCAUUUGAAGCUCGUUGAGGCGUGGCCCAUCUCAUCCACGUCGGGAUAGCCAUUUCGUACCAAGUUGGAUCCCAGGUCAGGCCAGUCAUUUCAUUAGCCUAAGAUAGACCUGACAGACGAGGCGCUUGGAUAUUGCCUACCGCGACCAAAUGGACCCAUGGGCUCAUUAGAUGAUGAGUCUGGACCCUGGGGUGUGUAAAGCCCACCUCAGCUCGAUCCAUAUUCGGUCGAUACUUAAGGGAAGGUGGAUAUGGGGUAAAGGUAGAGUAAGCUCCAAGCCAUGUGGAGGUCAGUCGAGAUUGAACACACAUUCAUAGAAUCAUAGUAUGAAAUUCAAGUCCAAAUUUUAACACUACGAAACCGAAAAGCAUGCAACUCCGAAGAGCAUUGUUUCAGUCCAACAACCUAAACUUCCUUAAAAAACUAAGACAAAAACGACGACACUAGUAAACGGAAAAACAUGCAACUCAGAAAACCAUUGCUCUAGUCUAAAUGAGGUUCCUCAAUGCCUCAAGCUUUUCUAAACACCAUAGCCUGAACCUUUUCCUUUGCGCCUUCUUUGCUUCACCAGAAACGUUCUUAAUGAGCUUCCUUCAAAUUUGGGACGAGCAGGCAUUAGGCUGUGCACAAUGCUGUAAAUGCCCCUAGCCCUUGCCACACCCUAGGUGCGUACGCUUGCAUGUCCGACCUGAGUUAUCUCAUUACGCGCGCAGUUUGAUCUUCCCGUAUUGACAUCCCUGCUGUCUAUUCUCAUGCGAAUCCUUUUGCUGGUGACUUCAUCCGGGUCCAUUUUCUUGCUCCUCAGUGCAUGUUCAUCUGCUUUUCCCUAUUAAUAAAUAUAGGAAUCCCAUAACAAACAGCAUUUGACAAAACAGAACGUAAUAAUAACAACAAAACUUGACUUCAUCCUCAUUGCAUGUUCAUCUGCUUUUCCACUUCAAAGCAGCUGACGGCACGAUUCGUACUUGGACUCCAAGAUGUCUAGAUUAUGGAGAAACUAUCCCUUUGUCCAAAACACACAAAGAAGUGGAUUUUCCGUUUAUACCAAGUGUGUUGAAGCAUGUCCCACAUGGCCACAUCGGAAACUUGUUGAAGUUUAAAUCCUCUUAUAUAGAAAGUUCGACUACUAAUUGCCUUGAGGCCUUAAUUUUGUAUAAAACCAUACCUAUUGAAUUGCACACGUGCUUAAGUUAAGGUUAGUAUUAAUGGUAAUUAGUAGUGGGCCGCUGGUCGUCUUCAAAAAACUGGUACAAAGGGAAGAUUUAUAGAAGCAGUGUUGAGAUAAAGGCAAUUCAUCUGUUCUUUUUAGAAGGAUAUAAAUGAAGCAAGGUUUAUCUGCUCACCCGUAAUGCGGCUCAGCCCUUCAUCAAAAAGUGAAAUAUCAAAAUUACUUUUACAGCAAGAGCAAUACCAGAAGAUGUAAUCUAAAUUGUUUAUAUUUGGUUCCCUUGAAAUCCUUUUGACUGUUUCAACAUAGUAUAUGUUGGUAUUUAAAAGUUUAGAAACUUAAUACCAAUUAUGUGGGUGAUAGGUUUUCUAACUCUAUCACACCUCUAUCUCUUUUACUCUCUUUGAAAAUGGAUCGAUAGAAAGAAAAAACAGCAAGCUUCUUAAAGAAACAAGUACUUGAUAUAUUAAAAGAGUUUCAACUCUAUUGCUGAAAAUAUGGAAUGGAAUUACAAAGAGCCUUACGGAAAGGCAUUCUUAUACUUGCAAAAAACAAGAGAACCACACAAGUGGUUUUCAUAAACAAAUGCAAACAAAGACUUUCUAGACUUAGCUAGUGGAAAACUAUCCAUGCAAAAUAAAAUAAAGGGGUUCAAAGUCUUUACUUGCAGCAGUUUUAGACUAUUGAACACACACACACACACACUACUUUAUUCUAGUGGUUUACAACCACAUUUCGGCUAGCACAGAAGAGAAGCAUUAAUUUGGGUAAGUGCAGGAAGUAUGAGUCAAAAGAAACAGCUAGCAGCCCACUAACAUUGAAAUAAUGUUUUUAUUUGAACUUCCAACACUCCCCCUCAAAUCAAAACACCUUCAUUCCUAGCAUGUCAUGCAGCAGCCGGAAUGAUUCAAUUGGCAGUGGCUUUGUGAAGAUGUCAGCCACUUGUUCCUUGGUGUGACAAUAGAUAAGCUCAAUUAUCUUUUGCUUCACAUGAUCCCUCAGAAAAUGGAACCUGGUAUCGAUGUGCUUGCUCCUUCCAUGUUGAACAGGAUUCUUUGCAAGCUUGAUUGCAGACAUGUUAUCCACAUGAAUCACAGUAGAUUCCACUUGUGGAUGACAUAAAGAUUUCAACAGAUUUCUUAACCAAAUUGCCUCACACACAGUUAAGGCUGCAGCAACGUACUCGGCUUCACACGAUGACAGAGCAAUAAUUGAUUGCUUCUUUGAAGUCCAUGAGAAAGCUGUUGAUCCUAGAAAAAACACAUAGCCAGUUGUACUUUCCCUUUCAUCUUGGUCACCUCCCCAAUCACUAUCUGAAUAACCAAAUAAUUUUGCAUCUUCACCAAAAUUAUAAAACAGACCAUAGUUUAGAGUGCCUCUUAUGUACCUUAAAAUUCUCUUGGCAGCCAACCAAUGAGACUCAUUUGGUGUUUCCAUGUACCGACUCACGAGUCCAACACCAUAAACUAUAUCUGGUCUUGUGAUUGUAAGGUACCUCAAGCUUCCAACGAGGCUUUUGUACACGGUUGAGUUUACAAGCUCACCUUCUCCUUCCUUGGACAGUUUCAAUCCAGUUGCAACUGGAGUGUUGACAAUAUUGCACUUGUCCAUAUUGAAUUUCUCCAAUAUAUCUCUCAUGUACUUUUGUUGAGAGAUGUAGAUACCGUUACUUUCUUGCUUCACCUCUAUGCCAAGAAAGUAUGACAUUAAUCCAUUGUCAGUCAUCUCGAAUUCACUGAACAUGGAUUGCUUGAACUCACAGAACAUUGCUUCAUUGUUUCCUGUAAACAACAAGUCAUCUACAUAGAGACAAAUAAUUAAGAACUCCCAUUUUUCACCGUUCUUCAUGUAAACUGAAUGCUCGUAUGGACAUUUCUGAAAUCCAUUUUGGUGAAGGUAGUUAUCAAUCCUUGAGUUCCAAGCUCGUGGUGCUUGCUUGAGGCCAUACAAAGCCUUUUUCAAAUGAUACACCUUAUCUUCUUCUCCUUGUACUCGGAAGCCUUCCGGUUGUUUCACGUACACUUCUUCCUCAAGAACUCCAUUAAGGAAGGCUGACUUGACAUCUAGUUGAUAAAUUUUCCAUUUAUGAUGAGUGGCAAGAGAGAUUAGCAAUCUUACCGUGUCAAGUCUUGCAAUUGGAGCAUAGACUUCAUCAUAGUCCACUCCAUACUUCUGUUUGUAGCCCUUUGCUACAAGCCUUGACUUGUAUCAAUCCACACUCCCAUCUGCAGUGCGUUUGAUCUUGUACACCCACUUGACACCAAUAGCCUUCUGAUUUGGUGGGAGCUUUGUCAACUCCCAAGUGUCAUUCUUCUCGAUGGCAUGGAUUUCUUCCUCCAUGGUUAUUCUCCAACGAUCUUCUUCCACAGCUUCAUUGAAUGAGAGAGGCUCGUGGUCUACAUACAAGCAGAAAAAAUUGGUUUCUUCUUCUUCUUCUUGUCCAUAUAUCUCGGUGAGACUUCUUAGCCUCACUGGAGUUGAUGAGCUGCUUUCCUCACUGGAUGUAGGACCACUCCUUGCAAUUCUGUGCACUGGAGUUAUUGUGGUUAUUUGAGCAGGUUGUUGCUAGAUAGGUGGUACAACUUCUGGUUCUUCAAAAUCAGUGGAAACAAUCUUCUCUUUACUGACUUCUUUGUUGUUCCACUUCCAUGCAUCUUCCUCACUGAAGAUGACAUCUCCACUAACCACUAAUUUGCCAGUUAGUGGGUUGUAGAGCUUAUAUGCCUUUGACUCUUCACUAUAGCCCACAAACACACACUUUUCACCUCGAUUAUCAAGCUUCCUCCUCUUGGCUUCUGGAACCUGAGCAUAUGCAACACACCCAAAAACUCUUAGGUGUGCAACAUUCGGCUUGUAUCCACUCCAAGCCUCUUGUGGUGUCAUCCUCUUGACACUCUUUGUUGGACAUCGAUUCAACAAAUAAAUUGAACAAGCUACAGCUUUUGCCCACAAUUCUUUUGGCAAAUUCUUCUCCUUAAGCAUGGACCUUGCCAUGUCAAGGAUGGUUCGAUUCUUUCUUUCGGCUAUUCCAUUUUGCUGUGGGGUAUAGGCAGUAGUCAGUUGAUGCCUAAUUUCUUGCUCCUUGCAAUAUGCUUGGAAAGCAUUGGAGGUGUACUCUCCACCUCUAUUUGAUCUCACAGCCACAAGCUUGUGGUUGCUUUCAGCCUCUGUGAGUGCCUUGAACUCCUUGAAAACUUUUAGGGCAGCUGACUUCUCCUUGAGAAAAUAGACCCAAGUCUUCUUACUGAAAUCAUCAAUGAAGGUAAUAAAAUACCUAUUACCUCCAUAGGACAUAGGAUCUAACGGACCACAUAUAUCCGUAUGUACCAACUGCAGUGGUGCUUUUGCUCUCCAUGCAUCACCAACAGGGAAUGUGAGCCGUGUUUGCUUGCCAAGCACACAACCUUCACAUACUUGGCGUGUGGCUUCAAUCUGGGGUAGACCACGAACCAUUCCUCCACUUGACAGCAACUUUAGGCCAUUGAAAUGAAGAUGGCCAAACCGAAGAUGCCAUUUCCAUGACUUAUCUUCCAUUACACCGAUGUUGCAACUCCCAAUCCUUGUGUUCAACUUCAAUGGGAACAUUCGGUUCUUUGACAUUUGAACACGUGCAAUAAGUUUUCUCCUUGCAUUCCUAAGAGUGAGAAACAUAUCCUCCAUAUGUAUAAUAUACCCUUUCUGGAGCAGUUGACCAACGCUCAGAAUGUUGCUCUUCAUACCUGGUAUGUAGUAGGUAUCGAAGAUGUAUUCUUCUCUACCAUCCUUCUGGAUGAUUUUGAUCUUUCCUUUGCCUUCAACUGGCAACUUUGAGGAGUCACCAAGACUCACAGAUCCAUAAGGCCCAUCUUUGAGUUCGGCAAAAAACUCUUUCUUUCCACACAUAUGGUUGCUUGCACCAGAGUCCAAAUACCAAACAUCUUGUUGGUUACUGGAAUCAUGGUGUGCUAGUAAGACUGUAAAUUCCUCACCAGCAUUUCCACUUGAUUCUGCCAUGUUGACAUGCUCACCAUUUUUAUAUGAACAUUCACCUUUCCCAGACCCUGCGUAAAGCGGGAGCCUUGUGCACUGGGUACGACCUUUUUUUUUUUUUUUAUUCAUUGGCAUAAUGUCCAUAUUGCUUGCAACUGUGACACUGGAUAUGUGCCUUUCCUCGAGUAGAUCUGCAUUCUUGAGACUGAGCUCGAUUUUGUGCAUAGCCUCUACCUCUUCCUCGGGCUCGUCCUCGGCUACAGUUGGAUGAAUUCCCACGACGUGAGUUCCACUGCCCACGACCUCCAUUUGGUUUGUCAAUAUUCAACUUUGACUCCAAAGCUUGCUCUAGCGUUGUGGGGCUUGCAUUCUUCUGAAUGCGUUGCUCGUGAACUAUGAGGGAUCCUAGUAGCUCCUCUGCGCUCAUCGCCUCCAAAUCCUUGGAUUCCUCAAUGGCAGUCACCACAUGCUCAAACUUAGAUGUGAGUCAUGUGAGUGACUGGAGUAUCUUCUCCACAACUCGUACUUCAUCGAGUCUCUCGCUAUUUAUCCUCAUCUGAUUUACUAUCACAAUGAGCCUUGAGUGAUAGUCGGAGAUGCUCUCCCCUUCAUUCAUGUGAGUAGUUUCAAAAUCUGCUCGAAGUGACUGUAACCUCACUUUCUUGACUCGAUCUACUCCUUUGUAGAUUGUACUGAGUGUGUCCCAUACUUGCUUGCUCGUUGUUGCUUCUGCAACCUUCUCAAACGUUGAAUCUUCUAGACCCUGGUAUAGAAGAUACAACGCCUUCUGGUCCUUCUUUCGUAAGUCCUUGAGAGUGUUCCUUUGUUCUGCAGUAUAUGCGGCUUCUUGAUUGGCAGUGGGUACAACAUACCCAUUACUGACAACUUCCCAUAGCUCCUGUGAUCCAAACAAUGCUUUGAAUUGGAUGCACCAUCUUUCAUAAUUUUCUUUCUUCAAUGUGGGAACCUGGAGCUGCACUAAGUUGGACGCCAUAACUGCUGCACUUGCCAGAAUGGUAUUCUGGCUCUGAUACCAAUUGUUGGUAUUCAAAAGUUUACAAACUUAAUACCAAUUAUGUGGGUGAUAGGUUUUCUAACUCUAUCACACCUCUCUCUUUCUUUUACUCUCUUUGAAAAUGGAUUGAUAGAAAGAAAAAACAACAAGCUUCUUAAAGAAACAAGUACUUGAUAUAUUAAAAGAGUUUCAACUCUAUUGCUGAAAAUAUGGAAUGGAAUUACAAAGAGCCUUACGGAAAUGCAUUCUUAUACUUGCAAAAAACAAGAGAACCACACAAGUGGUUUUCAUAAACAAAUGCAAACAAAGACUUUCUAGACUUAGCUAGUGGAAAACUAUCCAUGUAAAAUAAAAUAAAGGGGUUCAAAGUCUUUACUUGCAGCAGUUUUAGACUAUUGAACACACACACACACUACUUUAUUCUAGUGGUUUACAACCACAUUUCGGCUAGCACAGAAGAGAAGCAUUAAUUUGGGUAAGUGCAGGAUGAGUCAAAAGAAACAGCUAGCAGCCCACUAACAUUGAAAUAAUGUUUUUAUUUGAACUUCCAACACUAUAUGCAGAGAGAACCAGAACCAAGUCCAGACUCACUCGUAAUAGGUCUCUCCUCAUCCACAACAAUAUCCCAGCUUUCCCUUGUCGUGGUUUUCCCAUAUUUGUGCACCUUACUGCAAAGAGAGAGCAAGUUAACUUGUCAAAGAAAAACCAGAACAAUAGAUGCCAAUGCAGUUCAGAAAGUUUAUUUCCCUUCAUACCCAUUUCCAAAGUGCUCUUCUCCCCAUGUCCUUGACCAACCUAGACAUGAGAGAACAAAAACAAAGUCACAUCAGAUUAAAUUAUUGAAAGAAAAAGGUUCACUUACAAAUCGACAUUAGAAUCAAGCAACCACGCUAUGAAAUACAAAUUUAAAAUGUAACAAUUUACUGUGUCUGAAAGGAAUCUGUGAAAUAAAAUAGUUAAACCCUAAACAGCACCACUGCAAAUAGCAUAAGAAAAUUAAAAUUAACCCUAAAGAAAUUGGGAGAGAAGAAUAUGAAAAGGGAAUACCUUUCGGCCCUUUGAGUUAUUGGAAAAAACCCAACAGAGCAAAAGAUAAACAAAAAUACAGGAGGAAAGAAAAUAAAUUUUCAACUUGUAAGAUUCAUACACGAACAGAUUGGCGGUCAAAAGCAUUUCGAAACUCAGAGCCAUCAAGCUUUUUGAUCUGCAUGGAAAUUAUUUAUGAAGUUUGAGAUUCUUAUAGAUGCUUUAGACACAUCGACAUAUUGAAAAAGCAAUAUUCAACAACCUAGUACCCAUGCUCCCUAGAAGGGUACAGAAAAUAUGAAUGUCUGGACUCUGGAGUGAGAAAGUAAAAGGACUUGCCGCAUACUUCAUAUCUUCCAAGUUUGUGUAGUCUACAAUCCCUGUUGUGCCUACAAAAAAGGCAUAGGACAAAAGCUAAAUCAAUCGAAAUUCUGAUGUCUCAUGAUCUAGGUCUUAGGAUUAAACUACUGAAAUAACACUACAUGAAAUAGCUGUGUAUAUCCCAAAAAAAGUAUGAAAUCUGGUUGAUAAUUGAAGACUUCGAAGGGAUUUACCUUUGGAUUCUUUGGCUUUCAGAUGGAGUUUGCUUAUGUGUGGGGGAGAGAGGUGGAGCGGCUAGGGCUUGAGUAUGGAAGAGAUGAAAAAUGCAGAGAGCACCUGUUUUCGCUGAAGCAACUCACACACUCUGGACAAAUCUGCAAAUGUCUAAAAGGGGGAAAAUAUAAAAAGAAACCUUAACAACUGAAUUCAAAGAAACAUUAUUACAUUGUAAAUAACAUUUCACAAAAAAAAAAAAAAAAAAAAAAAACUGAACUAAACUAAUUACACUCGGAUUGCAAUGCUAUCAUUUAAUAAUAGGAAUUCCCAUAACUUAGCAGAAGACCUGCAUCUGCAAAGGAUUCUUUAAAACCUAUUUUUUUUGAACAACCCCGCACCUACAACACAUCCAGGCAAGGUAAACCAAUAGCACCCUCAUUCUAAGCUCUUCUGUGCAUAUAUACCCCUUAUAAGUAAUCUUAAUCAAUCAGUUAUCAUGAAUAUAGUCAGUUAUCACGAAUAUACAACUUAUAUUAAUUUUCUACAAUAUCCAACACACAAAUAUAACAGAAGAGGAAACUUUUACUUAAGCAGCACAAAAUGAUAUCCUUUGCAUUUCAUUCCAAAAUCCAUCACUCUUAUGUCUUUGCCUGCACAGUUUUUGCUCCAACAUAGCCCGCCAUGAUGAUAGCACUAUCAAUAAUUAAGACAUAAAGAAAGGCUAUCCUAGCUAGGUAUUAUCAUUGGAGUAAACCAACAACACCAUAAGUAAAGUAGCAGACCAAAUUUUUUCUAGAAUUGAUGUCUUAACAUGUUUAAGUAGCGAAAAGAUUACAACACAUUGGAUGUGUUAACACAUCCAUAAGCUAAUGACUCCCUCUCCGGAUCACUACAUCAUUCUUAAUGUAUUCAACAAUGCAGCAGCAAUUAAAAGUCCUUGGAAAAUGCCAAGCUACUACAAUGACAUAACGAAAAACUAUAUCUCACCUUACCCCCUUGUUGGCAUAGACUGCAUAUCCGCCCUUGUUCGGGGUGAAUCAUAAUCCUGAACUCAAUUAUCAUCAUCGUUGAGAAUGUCAAACUUUAAAUCAACCAUGCAUGGAACAAAACUUAGAAAUUAAACAAUUAUCAAAGCUUAUGAAGAAUGCUAAACCCAACUAAUUCGAAACAUAAAGUAACCCAAAAGAGAGAAAACUUAUAAAUUUUACAUAAAUUAUAAUCCUUAACAGAAGGAUGGAACAAAGCAGGUUCAUUCUUGAGAAUAGAUGUAAUUUUGCACAUUGCAUAUAUGUAGAUUAAGGCUGGUGGUAACAUACCUUGUAAUUUGUACAAAUUAGGAUUUUCAUUCAAAGAACCAUAAUAUACACAAUUACAAAAACAGUGAUUCAAACUUGUUCUUCUCUUAAGGAAAUUACUCACAGUUGAAAUUCUGAAUGGACGAAGUUUUGGCAUCCCUUUCUGACUAUAUUUGAUUAACCUUUUUUUAAUCCAAUGAGUGCCUUCAUGAGAGAGAGAGAGAGAGAGAGAGGAAUAUUAGGUGAAAUGUAUUGCCAAAUCACACAGAGAUCAAAAUCUUGAAUAUAUAUGUUUAACCAUAUCAAAGUGAGUGUGUGAAAGGGUGUAGUCUGCAGAAAGGGCAACAUUUUCACUGCUAGAAAGUUGGAAACUAAACUUUUACACAGAUAUUGGAUUUUAUUAAUUCCCUCCGCGAAUUGAAAAGCAAAUUGUUCGAGUAAUGCAGGUAAAUUCGAUAUACAUAUGCGUUGAUCUAUGUAAGACAGUUAUAAGUUAUAACUGUAUCGUCUUAACACAAAAAUGAUCAUAAAUGUAAGUGUCUGUAUUAUGGAAGUAAGGGACUUACAGCAAUUGCUAUGAGCUAUAACAGCAGUCACUCCAAGUACCCUAUUAUGGAAGUAAGGGACUUAUAUCAAUUGCUAUGAGCUCUACCAGCAGUCUCUCAAAGUGGUGCAACGGCUAAAAUUAUAAAUAAAAAGUAAUUUAAACAAUUUAACUUAAUAAAAUAUUGUAAUUUAAACAAUGCCUAUAUAUUCAAACAUCCCAAAACAGGAAUGAACUUCCAAAAAACAUGCGCAUGAAAAUAAACGGCAUUACUCACCCAUUGAGUUGGACCAUCAAACUGGAGCGUAAGAAGGAUCAUCAUGUACCUAUGAAACCCAAAGGAAACUUUUAGCAACCCCAAAGCUUGUAUGCAAGCGUGAAUAAGUAUGCGUGUAUGAAUCUAUUCAUAGUGAAGAAGGCUACCUUAAGAAAUAUUUGCAUCUGCAGCUUCAUAUGGCCAUACAACAAAAAGCAUCGCAUAUGAUAACAAACCCCAGCUGCACCACAAAAGGAAUAUGAUCUUCCUCUCAACUUGUAUUUGCAGUUGUUACUGUAACAUCUGCAGACAGCAUACAUAAGCACUGAUUCGAAAAUUCUAAAGGAAAAAAAGUCCUUAUUCGAUAAUGCACCAAAUCCUAUCCGAAAACCAAGGGGGUGCCAUAUCCCUAGAUUAACAGAGCAUCUUUCUUUGUUCCAAAACAAAUUGCAAUUGGCUUUGGUAAAGUAGAAAGAUUACCAGAUACCGACUCUGUUCCAUUAUUCGACUGUCCUUUUAGUUCUGUCUCUCAACAUGGGAAAUACAAUAAGACAGUAAAAACAAAAGUUAGUGAUGCUAUUACAUAGUGAAAGAAAAUAAGACAUUCACAUAUUGAUAGCUAUUUACUGUCCUUUCUCAUCAUAAUCUUGGCCCAUAUAUAUAUAUAUAUAUAUUGAAUUUUGAAAGCAAUGAGAGAAAUAUACCUUUGGGGCGUCACUGCCAGAAGGGUGAGUGAGGGAUCUAAGAUGUUUGAGAGCAGAAAUUUUUAAGUAAUUUGUGCGAAAAAGUUGAAGAGCUUCGAACAGAGUGGAGUGGGUUGGCCUGGGCUAAAAUAAAGAGGAUGAACUCUAGAAAGUAGAAAAUGUUGUGUUCAACCAAACUCAAAAGUAAAGAAACCAUACAAUUAACAUAUAAAUAAGUUUUAUAUACCAAUGAUUACAUGUACGUUGUUUGAGAAGGUAAAUUAGCAACAUAUACAGUGAUCAAAAGAUUAACAGCAAUAAACUGCUCAUUAUUCAAAAUAUACAAGAAAGUUGUCAUUCACAUGAUCCAAAUGGUAGAGGACAAAACAGAAGGAAGCAAAUAUUAUAGCAGCAUAAGUUGAAUAAUUGCAGCAAGUAAACAAAUAGAAAGGCUAGCUAGAUUACACAAUCCAGUUCUAGGUCAGACUAACCAUGUUAGCCAUCCGCCCACCACCAUCACCGUCGGCUUCUUAUUAAAAAUGUAGAAUAGAAGACUCAAAAACUGGAAAUGAAAGUAGGUAACAUUGAGUUUUAAUAACCAAAAAGGGACACUGUUUAAGCAGCUCCACAACAGCAAUAAUACUUGGACGAUGAGCUGCAAAAACAGAAAAGAAAACACAAAUUAAACUAAAAAAAUAUAAAAUUUAACACUAAUCCAAGGAUUAAAUAUCAAAUAUAAAGUCAUUAGGAUUGGGACCUUUGCAUUGAGGAAUAUCUACUACAUUAUGAGUUCCCUCCUGAUAAAGCCCAAUCAGGGGGUUUUCCGAUGAGCCAAGAACGGCUAACUUUGCGUGACACCGCCAUCCCCACUAACACCAAACCAAGAUAAUAUCAAGAUCAAAACUAACCAAUACCAGAAAGAUUUUUUUAUUUAAAUUUUAAGAAAAGACCUAAACUUUACGAAAUUAAGGGGGAAAACAAAGUUAAGUAAAGCACCAAUUUGCAACUGUCAAAAGUGAAAUAUGAGACUGCAACUGCCUAGAAGAACUCCGUGGCCUCAUCGACGAUGACCGGAUGGUGGAGAUUGAACUGGUGCGUACACCUGGAGCACCUGAUUAUACACCGAACAUAGAACAAAAUUUAAAUCAAGUCGAACAAUAAUUGUGAGAAAAUAAACUAAAAGGGAUUUGAGCUGAGAGUUACGAUUCGAAGUGCGGCAAUGGAGGGUGCAGGUUAGCGGCGGCAGAGGAGGGGUUGAGCUUGGGCUCAGUGAGAGAGAAGGUAGUGCUAAAGGCACUAUUUGUCAGCCAAUCAUGUAAUAGGCACACCACUUUUCUAUAUAUGACAAAAAUUAGGAGUUCUCCAAACUAAAGCAUGAAAUUAGAUUCACCAGAGAAUUGGAAAUUGCACAUGAAAAAAAUAAUAUACAUCAUGCCAUUUGUGAUUUUGAAAGAAAAAAAGAAUACCUUCUUCAGGUCCGCUUUAGUAGGUGGAGGCUCUUGAUAGAAGAUUGGCAUUGGAGUCGUUUUACAAAUCAGUUUCUUCCUGAACAUCCUAAUGUCAGCUUCUAGAGUUUCCUGUAAAAGAACAGACAACAUUCAUAAUAAGAAAAUCUCUCUCUGCAAUCGUAGAAAUCCCUCGGGUUUCAGGAAGCAAAUGGAAAACGAAAUGCUUUUCUCCCGUAUCUCUCUCUCUCACCUCUGUCCCAUCUCUCUGUCUCCAAAUCGCAGAAAAGAAACCCUAAACAAAUCCCUGAAAUCCCUCGCCUAAAUCCUCCCACAUUUCUCUCGGACACCCCCCUCUUUCUCUCUGCAAACCCUAAACCAAAUCUCCUAAAUCCUAUCUUUGACACCCCACAUACAGCCAAGAUAUUAAAGCAAUCUCUAUAUAAUACUUUGGAACAAUGAAGAAAAAUGGUACUUACUUGUUCCUUGUCCAAAACCGUUGGUGCUGCCGCACAUUGUUAUCAAUUGUGGGUUGAUCAAAUCCUUCAUGGCUUAGACUGCAUGAAGAAUUAGAAACUAAAAGAUGAAUAUAUGCCGUAAAUCAUCAUAUAAAUGUAAGUGCAUUUAAAAAAAAAAAGGGAAUGACAAAAUUGAAUUCUAUUUCAUCAGUAUGUAACUGCAUGAAAAGUUACUUUGAAUGAAGACUCGAUCAAUUUCCCCAAAGUCAUUGUUAACUGAAAAUCAAUAUCAAACCCAUAAAUACCACAUUGAAUUUGACCAAGUUAAAGGAUAAAGGCACUCGCAUCAUCGUAUUACUCUUUGGGAAGAUCUUCUAAUAAUGGUUCUUCCUUUUUCUUGCUCUUCCUUAGAACUGCCAUAAAAACCCCAGAGAAGCAUACAAAUUCAGAAAAGAAAAGGUUCAAAACUGCCAUAAAAAAAAUCUAGAAAGCAUACAAAUUUAUCAGAAAGAAAAGUUCAAAUUACAAAUACCAAAUGAUGUGAGUAAGUAGUGAGAGGUUGUGUUAGGCACCUGAAACACGUUUUGGUUUCAAUUGAAAGGGCCAGAGACAACAUCCACAUUCUUUUUUCUUGGGUGAACUAACCAAAUCAUAUUAUAUACUAAAACGACAUAAAAAAUCAUUCACAAACUCACAACAAAAUAGAACAAAAAGAUUCACAAAAGAUUUGGGAGUUGAGACGCUAACAAAAACAUUUCUUUUCUAAACAAAUACACAACCGCUAAUCUGGGUUUGGUCAGUUUGACUAAAACGGUGCGCUAUUUUGCAUCUAAAUAUAGUAUAUCGCUUAAAUAAAAUUAAUAAAAAAUACACAUCCAAUGCUUUUAGUCUAAAGCUAGAAUUAGGAAUAACUGAGGAAGUUAAUGAAGGCAAAGCAGAGGGUAGGAAGCAGAACAUACCAAGAGACCAGUAGGCCAUCGGGGCCGGUCUGCCGAUGAACGCUGUGUACUGGUUGACAACGCCCAACGGAGUUGGCGCAGAAAAGAAGUAAAAGUCGAAACCACCCUCAAUGACCUUGUAGGUGAGAGAAGUCCCUCUGUAGAACACAUCCAUGCCAUUGCUGUUGAGCAGCAAAACGGAGUGCGCGUAAGCCUCGUUGCCCACAUUCCGGAGAUCCAUGUAAACUGGGUGGGACCCGUACAAAUCAGUGUUGAGAUUGAUCGCUGAGAAGUUAGUGGUGAAGAGGAUGUAUUUAUCGUUCGGGUAGAGCUUGAUCCCGUGCGGCUGAGAGUUCUCUUCGAGGCCGUACAAGGAGGAGUAUUUCGGCACUCGGGUGGAUAUCUUGAGGUCUAGUCCUUAAACACCAGUACUAGUCCAAUAAACCACUCCGCUUUUAUUGAUUUUCAAUUCAUGUUCAUUCGGGUCCCAAACAAGACUGAACGGCCCCAGAGCCGGGUUGUAGGUAUCUACAUAUGAUAUAAGUGCCCACGUGGCCAUCAUUGCGGUUGACACCUAACUUCAUACCCGGUAAAAAUGUGUAUCCAGGAUAAUCACUUCAGCCGAUCGAGGGUGAUUUGAGGUGUUUUCUAGCUGAAUUGGACUUCGACCCAAGUAUGAAAGUUGUUCCUCUUAUCGAGAUCUUCAUUCAUGUAAAAUUUGGGAAUUUUAGAAUUGUUGAAUUCUCCGGCGAGUCAGGGCUACCAGCCGCCACGUGUUUCGGCGCAUGGCCCUUUGGCCGCUGUCCCGUGGCGACUCGUGCGGUGAUGUAUGCAGGAAAACCUAAGGUUCCUCCUUAGGUUUUUCAAUGUACCAAACCCGAAUCCGCCGUCCUUUUUUCAAAAUUCUAACGUUUUCAUAGAGUUUUAUUAAACGACCUUUAAUUGUGUUUAGGUGCAUCGGUGGAGGUGACCUCAUUCUUGAUGGUUCGAGCGGCUUUCGGGCAAUGGAAAACUUGUGAGUGGACCCCUUCUAAACUUAUAUAUUGUUAUAAAAUAUUAGCCUAGCAUGCAUUCCAUAUUUCAUGAUUUGAAUAUGAUUUAUAAUAUGCUUUAUGGACUUUUAUAAUUAUGGUUUACGAAAUAGUUUGAUUUAUCGAAAUUACGUUUUAUUAGGUAUUGAAUUAUUGGAUUUGCAUAUAUGGAUUUCUAUGGUUUUCAAAUACGAUUUAUAUUACGGUUUUACGAACAUGAAUUAUUUUAUGGAUUUCAUGAAUACAAUUUAUCUUGGAUUUAUGAGAUGAGAAUUUGAGCUAGUGAGCUCCGGGUUUGAUAUAAGUUUUGAGAUAUGUUUUUGGUACUUAUCUAGUGGGUUAUCAUACGGCACAUCCGCACACCACGGGUAUAGAAUUGUAUGGCCAUAGGACACAGAUGAUGAGGAGGAGUAAGAUAUGAUAUAUUAUAUACCCCCAGUUCACUGUCGAAAGUAGUGUCAGAUAACUUCACUAGCCAUGGCUAGUGUCGGUAUGGAUGUUAUGCUAUUUCAUACAGCUUCACCUUCGGGUGAUAGACAGGUUAUUUAGCUUCACCUUCGGGGUGAUGGACAUGUACUACCUUCGGCCAACUAUGAUAGCCUUUGUUGAGUACUUCACUGACAAGAUUUACAAAUUUGCCUUCGGGCGACGGCAUUUUCAUUAUCAAGCAUUGGAUUUUACAUAUCUACCUUCUAAAUGGAUUUUCAUGGCAUGCUAGGGUUUUUCAUAAAGCCUAUAUGUAGUAUUAUAUAUGUUUUCAAAACAAGGGGUUAUUAUGUUCAUAAAUAAAAUGUUUUCCUAUUAUUAGUAUUAUUAAUAUAAACUUUGGUCCACUCACAUUUUCAGUUUUUGCGCCUCCACAGGAGUUAGGAUCGAGGCACAUGAUCCCGGCAUCAUGGCAUGUUGAUAUAGGUAUCCUUGAAUCUUCCCAGUGUAGAUAUCAUUCCCUUAUUCAUAUCUUUUUAUAGUGAUUCUUCCCUAUUAUUUCUAAUUAGUUGUAUGCUCUAAACACAUUCCUGCUUUGGUAUAAUCGUUAUAACUACUUAUCUUGUAAUUGUUUGCAUGUUUAAAAUGGUUUCGUCACCCUUGGGCGUGGGCUAGCACGUGCCUACCCUGGUAUGUUGGGAUAUCGGGGUUGGGGCAUGUCAAAGAUAGAGAGUGAAUUUCUAGCAGAUUCAAUGGUUGUCUACAUUUUAAAAAGAGCUUGCCGAAAAGAUUGAUUCAGAUGAAAUAACAAAGGAUUUCAAUUCCAUUAAGGAUUGAAGGGCACAACUUGAAUAGGUAUUUUUCUUUUUAUUUGUUAUGUUGUUAUGACAGGAUUGACGAUGUAUGUUUAUUUAUAUUGUAAGUUGCAACUUUAAAGGUUUUCUUUGUUAAAUCUAGUUGAAACUUGAUUCAUUUAGAGUUAAAUUUCUUACUUCAAAUUGUUGCUUUUAGGCUUAUUAUUGUGUAACUUUAUGCAAGCAACAAAAAAUUUUAACCAUUUGAUUUUGUACUAAUAAUUUUAGCUUAGCAUGCCACCAAAUAAUUCAUGGCUCCGCUAUAGAAAUCUUAGCAUGUGCAAUUUCAAAGUCUCGGUUGCCAAGUCUCCCCAGGCUGUUCAGCACCCAUUCUGAAUCUUGAUCGAGAUCUAGAGCAGUGCAAGUCAAGGAGUCUUCAUUCUCAUUUGAAACAAUGCUAAAAUUAUACCUCAGCUUGGACUCCUUGGGCAAAAUAUACCCAAAUGUAUUAGUACUACUUGUGGAUACACCACUAGUCCAAAAAAAUCACCUCUCCUUUCUUAAUCUUCAAUUGGUGAGGGUCCCAAUCAAGCGUGAAAGGCCCCGGCGCACGGUUGGCUUUAGUUUCCCAUGAUGAAAUCGACGAAACAUGGCCGUUUGUACGGUUGACACCCAAUUUCAUGCCCGGUAAAAAGGUGUCAACUGGUAAUCAAAGCUUUACGUUCACUUCUUCUUGUACAAAAUUUCCCGAAUCCAAAAGGAUAGCCACAACAGUAGCAAUACUGUACUUAUGUUGGUAGACCUAGUAGUUUGUGGAGCUGAGAAAAACGCAAUUGGAUUAGGAUCCCCCCCGCAUAAUUUUCAAGGUUUUAUUCCUGUCCAAGGCAAGAGUGCGUACAAAAUAGGGGCUUUACGGUUGCAAAUCCAAGCAAUGUUGCCAUCGGCCUUGUUGCUCUGGAUAGAUACGUAGCUGGUGCUUUUGGAACUGUCGUCGUGUACACAGGAACUGAAACUGAACUUCUCCGAUGCAGAGACCAAAGAACUUGAGGAGUUGAGAGUGUCUCCUGCUGGUUUCAGUGUGUCCCUUGCACUUGCAGCAUUGUGACAGGUCCACAGUCAGCAUGCAAAAAUGAUUAAGUUGAUUAUUGCCAUGAUUAAUUAAUGACCAUAACAUGAAGUUUAAUUUCUCCAUAUGAUGAGGAAGAAAGACAUGAAAUCCAUCACCAGAACAUGAUUAAGAAUUUAAUCAAGCAACGCGUCUUAGUUAAACCGUUACAAUCUUUGUACAAGGCAUUUAUAAAUUAAAAAAAAAGGGAAUAAAGUAAUAAUUACAAGUUUUACACAAGUGACCAUUUAUUACAAUGGUGGAAAGGUGUUAAGCUUUUGCAUGACGGUGUGAGUUCGAACCUCGUCGGUAGUUAAUCUAACUUAUAAUCUAAUAAAAUCUAUUUUUUGACCAAAAAAAAAUAAUUACAAGUUUUACUAAAAAUUUAGGGGUGUGAUAUCCACACACCCCUUUUUACUUCUCUCACACAUUUUUGAUUUCGACCGUCAAAUCGGAUGAGUUGAAGAAGAUCAACGGACAGAAAUUAACAAGGGAUGUGUGAGAAGUAAAAAGGGGUGUGUGGAUAGCACACCCCAAAAUUUACCGGAAGACUUGAUCACCCAUUUGUAUGCUGACAACGGUGACUAGAUUCACAACCUCUUUCCCACGUAAAUCACAUCAUCCAAUUUUAUUUUUCUUACAACAUAUCACGCAUCUGUCAUAUGCAAGACUUUUUUUUUUGUAUAACAUGAAAAAGAAGACUUUUUUGGAAUAUGGAGAGUGAAAUUGCAGCGGAAGCAUCCUAGAUUUUUGAUCGAAUAUUGAGUUUGGUUUGAUGACAGACUUCCUGGAUCAAACACACCCUAAAAAAUAUAUAUAAAAAACCAAUAAGGUCAUGUGAUACGACAUCAUUUCAAGAGGAAAGGUAAAAACAAUCUAGUUUCUAUACUAGGAAGAUUCACUCGAACAAAUUCUUGGAAACUAUGACUCAAACAAAAUUCUAGGAAUUCAGUAUUUUUAACAAAUGAUAAGCGUUUAAGAUAUAUUCUUUAUAAUAUUAGAGAAAUCGAACGGUUGAUGUAUAACUCGCAAAGUGGUUGUAGCUCAAGUAAUUUUACUCCCCAAUUUUACAUAAAACAUAAAAUAAAAACAAAUCCUAAUUUACAUGGUAAUUUUUUUUCAUAGCUAGGGACAACUUCGACUAUGGUAAUGCAAUUAAUAUACACUAGUUUUGGAUGGAGAAGUUUCAAGAUUGAGUAUGGGAUGGGGAGGGGCGAGAGACUUGGAUGGAGAGGUGAGGUUUUAUGAGUUAAACAGUGAUGCAAGGAUGUAUUACUUAAAACUUUAGAGACCGUAUGUUGGGCUAUAUAUAAUAUACGUUCCAUGGAUAAUUGUUUAACUCAUAAACGUUUUGAGUGUUUCUAACAUAUGCUUAUCAAAAGCCUUCUCGUUCCAUCAAACAAUACGAAAAUUUUCAAUUGAAUGAAAGACAUACUAUUUUAUAUAUCACAGUACUUCAUGGAUCAUCAUCAUCACAUAUCCUUAAUUCAAAGGUAAUAAAUGAGCAUCUAGUUUUAUUUUAAUUUUAUUUUAUAUAGGGACUACAGAAGCAAGCACCCUCUGUAAAUUAAACUCUAAAACUUCUCAAGUAUCUUGAAAGGUGCCAAAAGCCAUCAGCCAACUCCAGUUGAUGCAUAACCUCCUACAUUUACAAAAACAGCGUCGCCGUUAAUUUAUUGACUUCUUCCCAGGACACAUACCAAUUUGCGAAAGUGGUUUGACUGAUGCUAAUUAGUCGAGUAAAGUACAGUCUUUUCAAUUAAGCAGAUGCAAAACACUUAGUUGAGGCACUACAAAUAUGAUUUUUACCUUUAAUUAACGCGCUUCAAAAUCUGAACUGGACAUGUAGUUUGCUGAAGCAACAGUUUCAAGUUGCUGAUUCCCACUUAUACCAGCCUCCACCGUCCUCCUUCCAACAAAAAAUGCUGGCUUUGUUGGUGAUGCUAAUCGAAAGCUUUCAUUUGUCAACAUAGAUAUGACAUCUGACAUGGUAGGGCGAUCUGCUGCAUUUUCUUCUACGCAAAGCAGACCGACAUGGAUGCAUCUUAACAGUUGCUCUUUAAUAAACGAAUUUCCUAAUGUUGGAUCCGUUAAUUCUAGCCCUGCACCUUUUUUCCAUAACUCCCAUGCCUGAAGAACAAGGAUUGCAUUUCAUUCUAAAGAAGAAAAAUAUGAUUAUAAAUUUUAAGAGAGAGAUUUGUUUGUCAUACAUAUCCUACUAAAUUGAGUGCGCGAUCGUCAUUGUAAAAGCUGUUGUUUUUCCUUCCACUUAUGAUUUCAAGCAUCAAUACCCCGAAACUGUAGACAUCAGACUUUACAGAAAUAAUUCCCCCCACGGACUCUGGAGGCAUGUAACCACUGCACGAAAUGAAAAAGAAAAUUAGUCAGUAUACUUAUCUGGAAAAAUGCGUGUUUAGCAGUCAAAAGGGGAGGACCACGUCAAUGUGAUGCAGAAAUACUUACAGUGUCCCCACAACCUUUCUAGUGUUUGCUUCCAAUUCAUUUUGGGUGAAAAUCCUUGCCAUACCAAAAUCUGAAAUUUUUGGGUUCAUGUUUUCAUCAAGUAGUAUGUUACUAGCUUUUACAUCUCUAUGAAUUACUUUCUUUCUUGAGUAUUUGUGCAGAUAAAGCAACCCUUGAGCAAUUCCUUCGAGAAUGCUAAAACGCUUCUUCCAAUCUAGUAGUAGACCUCUGAUUGGAUCUGUCCAAUAUGUAGAGUUAAGUAGGACUAAUAUUAAUUAAUAGUAGUACUCUAUGAACUUUGACAGUAAAAUAAAAAUCAGAUAGUAAAUUUAACAAAUGAAAUCAAGUAUCUUGGUUCCUCACCAAAUAAAAAGUGGUCCAAACUUUUGUUCUGCAGAUACUCAUAUAUCAACAUCAUUUCUUCACCAUGAAUGCAAAAUCCGAAAAGGUGAACCAGGUUUGUAUGUUUGAGUUCAUAUAUAAGUAUCAGUUCAUUCUUGAAUUCUGAUGUUCCUUGCCCUGAACAUUUCGAAAGCCUCUUCACAGCUAUUUCUUGUCCCGUCGCCAAUUUCCCCUGAAUUGAUAAUCCAUAUCAUGUUUUUGCUGUCAUCUUUAGGCAAAUGAAGCUAAUUCCAUUUUUUUUCUUACAGCUUUUGAAUUAGAAGCAGAAAUAUUUUUUUUUCAAAAUGUUACCUUAUAAACCGGUCCAAACCCUCCUUGUCCUAGCUUGUUUUCUUCAGCGAAGUUUCUUGUGGCAGCCACGAUGGAUGAAUAGCUAAAAACGCUAAAAUCAUGAUGUCGCUUAGAUUUCAUGAAGAUAAGCAUUUCGUUCUCAAUCUCUGGCCAGUUCUCACCUAUACAGAUCAAUUAUAAGAAAUUAAAGUUUCAAUGGAGACAACAAUUGUCAAAGAUGUGAUUAAUAAUCCUGUCUUACUGGUGCACAUGAUUUAAAGAAAUAUACCAGCUGAUGCAAGGGCUGAUCUUCUUCGUCGGAGUAGAUAGUACGCGGUGCAAAGCACUAGAGCAGCAGCUAUAGAAAUGCCAAUCCAAACCCAUUUAUCUGCUGCAUCAUAAACAAUUAGCUAGCAACAUAUGCAAUAAGUGUAACACACACGCACAUGUACGCAUUAAUUGUCUUCAAUUUUUGGAUGAACUAGGUCUUGCAGGUUUCUUCCGGAAAACGAAGAAAAAUUCGAGACAGAGAGCAGAACUUAAGACAACAAUAACAAAGAUAGAGGUACCUAAUAAUACUGAUUCCACGCGUGUCACAGAUUUCCGGCUCAAAUCGGGUUUGCAGCCUCGGUAUAUAUCCUUCGGAUCAAGAAAAGAAAACCCUUUUGGGCAUUCGCAGGUUGGCCUUUUAUCUGGUUUGAGCAUACAGGUACUGUUGUAACCGCAAACACCAACGCCCAGUCGUAGGCAAAUAUCAUCCGGCAUAUACACCAGAGGACUAAUCCAACUUGCAUUUCCCGUGAAGUUUUUCGGGUGAGAAUAUAAAGCGAAAAUCCCAUCAAAAUCAAGAGUUGCCCUUAUGUAGUUGUCCCUCACCGACACUCCCUCUGUCCCCUUAAGAGGAACUCUUCCAUCAUUUUCUCUUAGAACAAACAUGUCCCCUGAGCUGCUGAACACCAAUCGUUUGCCUUGACUACCUGGCACGUUCCCUGAGGUGGUCUUCGUGGAGAAGUAAGGGAUGUUGGCAUUAUCUGUUGUGACGGAAAUGAGCACGAGGUUUCCAUCACCUUGCAAGCUCAGCUGGAACCGCCCUUUUGUGUAGUUAGUCUCCGAUUGUCUACACGAAAGCGUCCCGUUUCUCUCAAUUGUCUGUCCAGGCAAAACGGUGUCUGUAGGACUGCUGAAGGUCUCCCACAAGCUCCCCGAGUUUUGGUGUUGAAGGACAAAGUUUCCGGUGUCAUUCAUGACCCCGUUCGCAACAGUCCCCAAGGUUAUUUCGGAUUUCCAUAUCUCUCCACCCUGAGGAUUGUUAAGAACUAGUCCACUGUUGGCAGUCAAGUUCAGAACUGAUCCCCCAGGUGCAACCAUGGGGUUGUUACCGUCAUAUGCAUACCAAACUACGGUUUUGUCUGGGAUUUUCGCAUACCAUAUCGAAAGCAAGAAACGAUCAUUGUUUCCGAGGGGCGAAAAUCCAAACGCGAAAUCACCGGAUGGAGAAAGCCAUGAU